rnacentral:lncRNA from 1 species
CCCACCUUGAUCAAUAAAGCUUUCAUCUUAUAUUCGCAAUAUCCAGAUUGCAAUCUCAGUUUCUUGCUUGUUCCUCGUUUGCUUGCAGGAAACAGACCCUCGUGGUCAGGUUGAUCGUGCUCCAGCGUGGUCAAUAACCUCUCGGAGUUGGUUUAGCGAUUGCUAAGGCGCGACGUCCUCGCACGUUCGUAGUCGGAUCGUCAAAGUCGACUGCCACCAAAGCGAUAUCCAUCAUCUCAUCGAAAGACGGGACGCCUUUGCCUCUAUCACAGCUCCACAUACAUCUACGUCGUGCGUUUGACUCUCCCUGGCAAUCGCUCUAUCCAAGCUUUUGAGAGUUUUGACUACAACGGUUGCCGAUCACCGCCUGCUACUGGGUAAGAACUGGUAAGAAUUUGAGAUUUGCUUGACGGAUUUGUGACACCCGCCACCACCACCACUUGUUAGUAGUCUGUAGGAUCAUAUUCUUGUGUGUUUCUAUUGCUGCUAACCAUGCCAGGUUCACAAGCCGACGAGACUGACUGGGAGAACUUGACGAACAAGGAGCUUCAUGAUACGUUUUAGCAAAUGAUGAGUGGACAGGUGCAAGAUGUGAUAAACAGAUUUGAACAGGCCAUGGAGAAGAUAGAUGGCAUGGAGAAGAUCUUCGAAACAAAGCUCGAUAAUAGGUUUAAUGAAUUGCUCGCGCGUCUUCCACCACCACCACCGGCUGCACCUAACGCACCUCUACAACAACAGCAACAACAUCGACUACCUCCACGUCGGGAAACAGCCCUCCGCCGAGCGAGCCGUGUCCCUCUUCAGUCGGGCCAAACUGCUGGUGCUGCUGUUGAUACUUCUGUGGCUCCUACCGCUGAUGUGGAGGAGGAUGAUUAUGUGGGAGAUUAUGAGGAUGAGGUUGAUCAAAAUCAGAACUACGUGCCACCACCAGCACAGCAACCACCAGGUCGUCCACAUGCAAAUAAUGGCAAUGGUAGGGCUCACCCUCAGGUACGAGAUCAUGACCAUCUCCCUAAACUAAAAUUGAAUAUUCCACCAUUUGAGGGUAGAUAUGUUCCUGAUAUAUAUCUUACUUGCGAGUUAGAAACUGAACAACGAUUUACAUGUUUACAAUAUCCCGAGGAGAGAUGUGUUCCUGCUGCUGUUUGUGCAUUCACUAGUUUUGCAUGUGUUUGGUGGUCUGAGCAUUGUAGAUUAUAUCCUAUUCCGGCUACUUGGGCUGCUUUGAAAACUGCUAUGCGUACUCGUUGGGUUCCACCAUAUUAUCAACGUGAAUUACUUCAAAAAUUGCAGCGCUUAAGACAGGGAAAAAUUCUAUAGAAGAAUAUUAUCAGGAAUUACAAACUGGCAUGAUUAGAUGUGCUAUUGUUGAGGAGAAUGAAGCUAUGCUUGCACGUUUUAUGGGUGGAUUAAAUAGAGAGAUUCAGACGAUUCUAGAGUAUAAGGAGUAUACUAAUAUCACUCGUUUAUUCCAUCUUGCUUGUAAAGCUAAACGUGAAGUGUAGGAUCGACAGGCAUUGGCACGGACUAACUUUUCUGUAGGUCGACCUUCAUCAUGGACACCACGUGCAUCAUCUACUUCCACACGUUCUGCUACACCGGCGCCUCCGUCGGCUGCCACCUCCAACCGUGAUACAAUAAAGCAGACACAAUCACCACUAUCUGCCAAGAGCACACCUUCUGGGCCUGCAAAGAGCUCUUCUUCAUCCAUGGCAUCAACAGGGCAAACACAUGAUAUUAUUUGUCGACGUUGCAAGGGUGGAGGUCAUUAUGCGAGAGAAUGCCCAUCUAAGAGUGAAAAUCAGAUUGUGGCAAAAGAAUUUGAGCAAAAAAUGAAGCCUAAUAAUAAACCAUCUACUGUUGCUUCUAAAAUUUAAUUGAAAAGUGCAUGUUUACUUGCCACCAAAUCUGAUAUUGAUGAGCUAGAUUUUAGCAAAUCUGUUUGCUAUGCUUUUGUGUGCAAAGAGGCAUUAUUUUCAUUCGAGGACGUGCCUUCCUCUUUGCCCCCUGCUGUCACUAACAUUUUGUAGGAGUUCGCUGACGUCUUUCCACAAGACGUGCCACCGGGAUUACCACCUAUUCGAGGGAUUGAGCAUCAGAUCGACUUAAUUCCCGGUGCUUCGCUGCCAAACCGUGCGCCAUACCGUACCAAUCCAGAGAAGACGAAGGAGAUUAUGCGUCAAGUACAAGAACUGCUCGACAAAGGUUAUAUACGCGAAUCCCUUAGUCCUUGUGCUGUUCCUAUCAUUUUAGUGCCGAAGAAGGAUGGUACAUCGCGUAUGUGCGUUGAUUGUAGAGGCAUUAAUAAUAUUACUAUUCGUUAUCGUCAUCCUAUUCCUAGGCUAGAUGAUAUGCUUGAUGAAUUGAGUGGCUCUACAAUAUUCUCCAAAGUUGAUUUGCGUAGUGGAUACCAUCAAAUUCGUAUGAAAUUGGGAGAUGAAUGGAGAACAGCAUUUAAAACUAAGUUUGGAUUAUAUGAGUGGUUAGUCAUGCCUUUUGGGUUAACUAAUGCACCUAGUACUUUCAUGAGGUUAAUGAACGAAGUUUUACGUGCUUUCAUUGGACGAUUUGUGGUAGUUUACUUUGAUGACAUACUGAUUUAUAGCAGAUCUUUGGAAGAACAUUUGGAACAUUUAUGUGCUGUUUUUAUUGCUCUACGUGAUGCACGUUUGUUUGGAAACCUUGGAAAGUGCACCUUUUGCACCGACCGAGUAUCUUUUCUUGGCUAUGUUGUUACUCCACAGGGAAUUGAAGUUGAUAAAGCCAAGAUUGAAGCUAUUGAGAGUUGGCCGCAGCCCAAAACGGUCACACAAGUGAGGAGUUUUCUUGGCCUCGCUGGAUUCUAUAGGCGUUUUGUGAGAGAUUUCAGCACCAUUGCUGCACCUCUCAAUGAGCUUACAAAGAAAGAUGUGCCUUUUCUUUGGGGUACCGCACAGGAAGAAGCCUUCUCGGUAUUGAAAGAUAAGUUGACACAUGCUCCUUUACUCCAACUUCCUGAUUUUAAUAAGACUUUGGAGCUUCAAUGUGAUGCUAGUGGAAUUGGAUUAGGAGGUGUGUUAUUACAAGAUGGCAAACCUGUUGCAUACUUUUCUGAAAAAUUGAGUGGGCCUAGUCUGAAUUAUUCUACUUAUGAUAAAGAAUUAUAUGCUCUUGUUCGGACUUUAGAAACAUGGCAACAUUAUUUAUGGCCCAAAGAAUUUGUUAUACAUUCUGAUCAUGAAUCUUUGAAACAUAUUAAAAGUCAAGCUAAACUGAAUCGUAGACAUGCUAAAUGGGUUGAAUUCAUUGAGACUUUCCCUUAUGUCAUUAAACACAAGAAGGGAAAAGAAAAUGUUAAUGCUGAUGCAUUGUCUCGUCGCUAUACUAUGCUUUCACAACUUGACUUCAAAAUAUUUGGUUUGGAGACCAUCAAAGAUCAAUAUGUGCAUGAUGCUGAUUUUAAAGAUGUAAUGCAGAAUUGUAAAGAAGGAAGAAUGUGGAACAAGUUUGUCGUUAACGAUGGAUUUGUGUUUCGUGCUAACAAGCUAUGCAUUCCAGCUAGCUCCGUUCGUCUUUUGUUGUUGCAGGAGGCACAUGGAGGAUGAUUAAUGGGACACUUUGGCGUGAAGAAGACGGAGGACGUACUUGCUACACAUUUCUUUUGGCCAAAGAUGAGACGGGAUGUUGAGCGUUUUAUUGCUCGCUGCACUAAAUGUCAAAAAGCUAAGUCACGACUCAAUCCUCAUGGUUUAUAUAUGCCUUUGACUGUACCUAGUGUUCCUUGGGAGGAUAUAUCUAUGGACUUUGUUUUAGGUUUACCUCAAACAAAGAAGGGGAGGGAUAGCAUAUUUGUUGUCGUGGAUAGAUUCUCGAAAAUGGCACACUUUAUACCAUGUCAUAAAAGCGAUGAUGCUGUUAAUGUUGCUGAUUUGUUCUUUCAUGAAAUUAUUCGCUUGCAUGGUGUCCCAAAUACUAUUGUUUCAGAUCGUGAUACGAAAUUUCCUAGCCAUUUUUGGAGAUGUUUAUGGGCUAAGUUGGGGACUAAAAUGCUUUUUAGUACUACUUGUCACCCCCAAACUGAUGGCCAAACUGAAGUAGUCAAUAGAACAUUGUCUACUAUGCUUAGGGCUGUUUUGAGGAGUAAUAAGAAAAUGUGGGAGGAAUGCUUGCCUCAUAUUGAAUUUGCUUAUAAUCAUUCAUUGCAUUCUACUACCAAGAUGUGCCCUUUUGAAGUUGUGUAUGGUUUCCUCCCUCGUGCACCUAUUGAUUUGUUGCCUCUUCAAUCUUCGGAGAAGGUUAAUUUUGAUGCUAAACAACGUGUUAAAUUGAUUUUAAAAAUGCAUGAGUUAAGGGUAGAAAACAUUGAGCGUAUGAAUGCCAAAUAUAAACUUGCUGGAGAUAAGGGUAGAAAACAGGUUGUGUUUGCACCUGGAGAUCUUGUUUGGUUACAUUUGCGUAAGGAUAGAUUUCCUGAUUUGCGCAAAUCAAAGCUCAUGCCACGGGCUGAUGGUCCCUUUAAGGUGUUAGAGAAAAUAAAUGAUAAUGCAUAUAAACUUGAGCUGCCUGCAGAUUUUGGGGUUAGUCCCACUUUUAACAUUGCAGAUUUGAAGCCUUAUUUGGGUGAGGAAGAUGAGCUUCCGUCGAGGAUGACUUCAUUUCAAGAAGGGGAGGAUGAAGAGGACAUCAAUACCAUUGUUGCACCCACAGCCCCUGCUGCUAUACAUACUGGACCAAUUACUAGAGCUCGCGCACGCCAACUAAAUUACCAGGUACUUUCGUUUCUUGGUAAUGAUUCUAAUGUUCAUGAGAAUAUGAUGCUGCCUAAAUUGGAUACAUUUGUUUUGCUUACAAAUGAAGGGCCUAGCUUGGAGAAGGAUGAACAUUGGAGCAAGAACAAGCAUGGAGAUGAUGGCAUGCGCAAGGGGAACAAGAACAGAGUUACAAGUGAUGAUUUCAUGUCUUUGAAGCCUCCAUAACGAGUGCAUGAAGCCUUGGACGAAAUAUACAAGAUGUCACUUCAUAAAUUUUGUCCAGAGGCUAUUAUAGGUGCUGCGUCACCUUUUUAUUGGGCCAGGCCCAUGUAAUUUCGAAAUACAUAAGUAUAGGCUAUUUUUAGAGUCCGUAUGUGUGGGGAAACAAGAGAUAGGGUUGAUUUCGGACCCCUCCACCAAGGGCCACGAAAUUCCCCCUCUCUUCCUCCAUAUAUACAGCCCUUAGGGAACCGUUUAGACUUUGGGUUUUGUUUAGAUUAAAAGUUCGCCAUAGCUGCAACUUCGCGUACUUCGUUUGUGUUCAACGACCAGACAAAGGCGUCACAUAACCCCACCUUGAUCAAUAAGGCUUUCAUCUUAUAUUCGCAAUAUCCAGAUUGCAAUCUUAGUUUCUUGCUUGUUCUUCGUUUGCUCGCAGGAAACAGACCCUCGUGGUCAGGUUGAUCGUGCUCCGGCGUGGUCAAUAACCUCUCGGAGUUGCUUUAGCGAUUGCUAAGGCGCGACGUCCUCGCACGUUAAUAGUCAGAUCGUCAAAGUCGACUUCCACCAAAGCGAUAUCCAUCAUCUCAUCGAAAGACGGGACACCUUUGCCUCUAUCAGGGCCUCUGCAGGAUCGAGGACGCCGCCCUGUCGGGCCUGAUCAUUUGUUGACGUUGUCGUAGCCUCUGUAGUAUCCUCCUGGUGCCGUAUCGCCCUGGCUGGGGGUGCGGUACGGCGUGGCGGGCCCUUGGCCUGGUGCUCUUCCCGGACCGCCACCAAUGUCACGCUGGCAGAGUGGGGUGUGGCAGCAAGGUAAAGCACCAGGGGCUCAAGGGGGCGAGGCGCCACCAUCACCGGAGGGCUGGUUAGGUAUCUCUUGAGGUCUUGAAAUGCCAGGUCGGCCUCCGGGGUCCACUCGAACAGUCCCUUCUUCUUCAUCAACUUGAAGAACAGCAAGGCGGGCUCCCCCAGCUUAGAGAUGAAGCGCCCUAGCGAGGUCACGCAGCCCGCAAGCUUUUGCAUUUCCUUGAGAGUUUGCAGUGGGCUCAUGUCCUCUAUCGCCUUGACCUUCUCCGGGUUAGCCUCGACCCGCCUGUGGGACACGAGGAAGCCCGACAGUUUGCCAGAGGGUACACCAAACACGCACUUCUCCGGGUUGAGCCGCAGGUCCACCUGGCACAGGCUUGCGAAGGUCUCCUCUAGAUCCUGGAUCAAAGUUCUUGCCUCCCGAGAUUUUACCACGAUGUCGUCGAUGUAGGCUUCAGCGUUUCUCCCGAGCUGUUGACCUAGGGCGAUGUGCAUCAGCCAUUGGAAGGUUGCUCCUGCGUUGCGCAGUCUGAAUGGCAUGCAAUUGUAGUAGUACACUCCGCACGCGGUCAGGAAGGCCGUCUCUGGUGGUAGCCCAAGAACGCGUCCAGGAAACACAGCAGGUCGCACUCGGCGGUGGAGUCGACAAUCUAGUCGAAGCGCGGAAGCGGGAACGGGUCUUGGGGCAGGCCUCGUUGAGGUUGGUGAAGUCGACACACAUGCGAUCCUUUCCUCCUUUCUUUGGCACGACGACGGGGUUCGCCAGCCACUCUGGGUACUGGACCUUGCGAAUGACGCCUGCCGCUUCCAGCUUGCGCGUCUCCUGGACGAUGAAGGACUGCUUCUCCGUGGACUACCGCCACGCCUUCUGCUUCACAGAGCGCACAUUGGGGCACACCCUUAGGUGAUGCUCGAUCACCCCCCUUGGGACCCCUACCAGCUGCCAUUGAACCUCACCAAUGCCUCCUCUUGAUCCAGCUCGAGGUUGGCGCCUAUGGUGAAGGUGUCUCCUGAGGGCGUACCUUCCUCUAUGGUACUUGCUUUGUCUCGGCCCGAUCUUGAGUGAACAGCUUCUUCUUCUUUGCUGGCGCGGCCUUCUUGGCUCCGAGAGUGGCCUCAUUGGCCGGGCAUGCUGCCGUGGCGGCCCUGAAGGCAAGCUUGAGUGUCGUCAGAGCCUCCUUGGUGUCUCCAGCCAUGGUGAGGACGCCAUUACUCCCUAGCAUCUUCAUGAGGUUAUAAGCAGGAUGGGUAGCUGCCUUGAACUGGGCCAAGGCCGGGUACCCGAGGAUGGCGUUGUACGAGAGGCCGAUACGGGCGAUGUCGAAGUCUAUAAGGUCGGUGCGGUAGUUGUCGCGGGUGCCGAAGGUCACAUGAAGGCAGAUCGGCCCUAGGGGCUGGUGGAGCCACCGCCGACCCUGGAGAAGUACUUGGUGGGGCGAAGACAUUCAUGCGGCACAUGGAGGAAGCCAAAAGUUUCCAUGGAGAGCGCAUUAAGGCCGGCCCCGCCAUCGAUGAGGGCCUUGGUGACGGCUACAUUGCAGAUGGUGGGCGUGCAGAGCAUUGGGAGCACGCCCGAGCUAGUGGUGGUGACGGGGUGGUCCCUCGAGUCGAAUGUGAGUUCGGCCUUGGGCGCCGCCCAACUUGGGGGAGCUCCCUACUGCAUGGAGGCGGCGCCGACUUGGCGGGAGAACUGCUUGGUGUGGCGGUCCGAGGGUGGUUCUUGUGAGCCGCCGAGGUGGGCUCCGACGGCAGUGGGCGCUGGCGCCACAAAGCGUUUGACGAAGAGGCCGCGCAGCUCCUCCCAAGAUACCACUGAGGAUUCUGGGAGGGUGAUUAGCUAGGUGCGCGACACGCCAGCAAGUGCCAUGGGAAACCAGUUGGCCAUGACCUUGUCAUCGCCUUCGGCUUCCAGGACGGCCUCCUCGUAUGCCCGUAGGAAGGCUGACGGAUCCGCCACGCCGUCGUAGCGAGGCGGCAUCUCUGGCUUGAACUUGCACGGCCACUGCACCCGCCGCAAGGCGGGGGUGAAAGCUCUGAGCCCCCUAGCACUGUCGUGGGUGCCCGUCGUCCUAGCUGGAAGAACAAUGCCUGCCAUGGGGAUAGUGCGUGGAGGCGGUGGAGGGUGGAUCGACGGAAGGAAAGCUUCGACGCACCACUACCUCGCUCGCCAAAUGUAGGAUUUCGGGUUCCGGCAAAACCCUUAAAGUUCGAACGCUGGGGUGCGCACAAAGAUCUUUCCCCACCCAGCUCACGCUCUCGCAACGAUCUCAAAACCUAGCUCGCCCAACUCAAAGAAUAAGGGAGACAAGAGUUUAUACUGGUUCGGGCCACCGAUGUGGUGUAAUACCCUACUCCAGUGUGGUGUGGUGGAUUGCCUUGUAGGCUGAGGAUGAACAAGUACAAAGGAAGAAAAACCUCCCGAGGAGAGGUGUUCUUGAGCUCGGUGAGCUGGUGCGUAUGAGGGUGGAAUGGAUCCGAUCCCCCUCCUAUGGUGAUGGCUAGUCCUAUUUAUAGAGGACCUAGUCCUCUUCCCAAAUAUUAGGCGGGAAGGGAUCCCACAACGGCCAAUUUGAAUGGGGACAGGUAGUACAAGCUAUCCUGACAAAAUGUGGUCUUCGCCUGCCAAAGGUUCUGGUGGUGACGCCGUCGUGGGCUCCGCGAUGACCUCCGUCCUGUCGUCCUGUUGGUCUUGGUCUUGUUGCACUGAUAUGGAAACCUUUGCCUGGCGCCUCGGGACUCCUCGCCUAUGCCCGCUCCUUUAGCACCAAAGAGGCAACUGGUGCUCUGCGCCCGCUCGCUCCCGCCUGGCACCCGCCUGGCCUUGGUCAUCAUGGCUCACGUUACGGGAACCUCACGAGGUGCCCCUUACCUUGAUCUCUCCACUCCUUGCGAGCCAGCCUAGCGAGGCUGCCACUGAGGAGGUCUUGUAUCGUCCGCCUCAAGAGGCUUGGCCCCUCACAAGGGUCUUCAGUGUUUCUUGGUGAAGAUGGGCCAUACCAGGCCGCUGGGCGAGCCACACCGUGGGCUGCAGGCAGGCAAGUCUGGGACCGCCGUUCCUAGAACACCGACAGUAGGAUUACAGGUUGAGGGCACAAGCCAAGAAAGCAGCCCACAAACAUUACAUUUCACAUGUACUAAAACACACUGGCUUACCAUAUGUUGUUGUGAAGCCUCGCUGCUGUUGCAAUGUUCUUUGAAGAUAUCGUCAGCAUCCCAUGGUUGCAAAUCUAGUUGUUGUAGUUUAUUUUGCACCCUCUAUUUUGGUAAAAUUAAUUUUAAUUGCAUGCACUGGUUCGAAUUGAUCAUCAAUGGUUCAUCUAAACUAAUGAAGGAAGGGUGUGUGCUUACACGACAAUAUAUCUGCUUCACUAUAUUUUUAUGCUUCUUUGAGGUGCUAGCCCCAAAAGAACAAAUAUUUUGCUCGAUGGGGUUGGCAGCUCCAUAAUUAAUCCUUACUUAUGAAGCCUGUUAUCCCAAACAAGUUGGAGUAGGCUAGAUAUGAGACCCAUUCACGAGGACUUCCCAUGAGGUCACCCAUCCUAGUACCACUCUCGCCCAAAUGGGUUUCAUACCCAAAAGACUGGCUAGUUUUUAAUUAGUCAUGCAACUUGGGAAGAUCAAGAACACACAAAAAAUUAAUGAACAGAGGCUCGGAGCGAACAUCAGAAAAUGUAGGGAAAAACGAACAAAAAGCAGUGGAACCACAUGCUAGUUUGCUUAUGCGUAAUUAAGCAUAGAGAACAUGAAGCAGUAUGAUGGAACCAACAGGUGGCAUCAUAACAACACCAUUAUCAUAAAUAUAGCAUGCAAGAAGUAAAAUAGUAGGUAGUGAUAUCUAGGAGGUACAGUAAUACUUAGGACAAAACUAAAGCAUAUUAACUAUAUGUGCACUGGUAUGUAAUUUAGCACAUGUAACAUGUUCACUGCCAGAAGUAUGGCCCUACAGGUGCAAGUAGAAUAACUCAUCUCAUGAAAAAUUGAAUGAUGCCCUAAAGAAAUUCAAAGGUGCGGUGCUUAUUCUAAGAAAGUGAACGUAGGCGUCGGCCGUUGGAUAAUAGUACCUGAUUCUCGGUGGCGUAUGGGUAUCGUUGUCAUACUUGAUAGCUAAGGAUCGUCGAUGGUGCUCGUGUUGCAGUUGAGUUUGGGCAGGCUAUCGCCAUCGCUGAAGUGGCUCCGGUGCUUCGGUUGCGGCGCCUGUCGACAUACAAGAAAGCUCAUCUGUGGUAAGUGAACAGUUGCAUGAUAAAGAAGAGAAAAACCAAGGGAGUACAAAUCGAAAUAACCCGACGAGGCUGUGGGGUCAGUAAAGCAGGGCCGGUGGAGUUGAAUAUGGCGUCCGUGGAGCAGGUCUGGUGCAGUGGACGAAGGCUUCGGUGGGCGAAGUGUAUAGUGCUUUCGGUGAGGCGGUUCUGUUGCGGCGGACGAGGGCUUGUAUGAAGGGCCAGCAAUGGGGUGGACGAGGGAGUCCGUGAAGGGCCUACACUAUGGUGAACGAGGGUGCCGGUUAAGCAGAUCCGAUGCGGUGGACCAUGAUGGCGGUCAAGGAGAUCUGGAGCGAUGGACAAGCCAGUCGGUGAAGCGGCUCCGGUGAAGUGGUGAGUUGGCAGUUGGGGGUUUCAAGGUGCGGAAGGUAGAUCCGGCGGGGUGUGAGGUGCACUGCCGCGGUGGAGAACUAGAUUCGGCGGCUUGCCGUGGAUGGGGGGGUCCGGGAGGGGAAUGGGAGGGGCUCUGGGGAAGAAUGUUGGGGGCAAAGUGGGGAAAACAAUGGAGUUACCAACGCAGCCCUUCUCCGUUCAUGUGGCAGGGCUAAACUUUUCGGCGCGAGAUAUUUCGAUGUGAGCAGGAAGUUUGAAAGCUUUUGGCGCCUGAAAUUAUAAGUGUUCUGCUCUUGUACGGCCGACUAUGAUAUCAUGGCCGAGAAUUUAUUUGUUUUGCACCCAAAAGAAAGUGGAAGUUUUGAAAAUCAAUGUCUCCAACUCGAAACUUCGACUGUCCAUUCAAUUCAAAUAUGGAUCAUUGAGCUAGUACAAGUAAAUACCAUCAUACGGUCCAAUAGAAAUGAAAUUCCAAAUGUGUUUAUCCUAAAUAUGAUGACAAAAGCAAAAAUGUGUAUGUGUAUGAAUAAAGUGGAUGAUUAUAAAGUUUGAACAUGCCCGUAUGUGUAUAUCUCUAGGUUUGAUAUAUGAAUUUGAAAUCAUGAAAUCCCGACUCAGUAAAUAUACCUCUAUUCAAAUGAAUUACAAAAGCUAAUGAUGGAGUCGAAUUCCAAAAUUCCAAUCUUAGAUUUGUAAUUGUGCUACAUCAAGGUAUAUCACGCAUGUUCAAAAGUAUCGUUAUCUCAUAGUCCAAAGUGUGAAACAAAUUGAUCAACCAUGAAUGCACACACUAUUGACCAUAUAUAUGUCAAUUACGCUAAAGNNNNNNNNNNNNNNNNNNNNNNNNNNNNNNNNNNNNNNNNNNNNNNNNNNNNNNNNNNNNNCUCUCCCCCAGACACGAACACUCGAGCACAUUAAAACCCGCCUCUCUUCUAAAGUCCGGACCCCAAUAUAGGUCUCUUAUCACUUUGUAUCUUGGGCAUGCACACAUCUCUUACCCCACUCUCCAGGUCUCCCCGCAUCUCUCUUUCCCAAGAACACGCACUAUGUAGAGUGUAUCUUUCUCAUAAACACAAAACGUCGCCCCCAAACAUCUAUCUCCCUAGUUAUGUGGUUCUCACACACUCACCUCAUACACCACCUCCACUGCAAACAAGCACACUUUGUCUCCUUGUGCACCACUCUCCUCUUUCUAUCUCUCCCACAUGCGGACCCGCCCCAGCACCUUCCCUGUAUACAUAUAUGUUGUGACUCUUUCCAUAGCUCCCUAAUGUAUCAUCGUUCUCAAUCUCGCAUGUUGUUCUCUACACCAUCUAUUCUUGAUCUCUCAUGAAGUCCCUAUCACACACACGAUGACUCGCUUCCCUUGCGUCUUCGUACAUAGGCCAAUUUCGAACAACAUCAACAUUGUCUCCCUAUCUAUAUGCCACUUAUGGACACAAACGACCCCUCUCCCCCNNNNNNNNNNNNNNNNNNNNNNNNNNNNNNNNNNNNNNNNNNNNNNNNNNNNNNNNNNNNNNNNNNNNNNNNNNNNNNNNNNNNNNNNNNNNNNNNNNNNNNNNNNNNNNNNNNNNNNNNNNNNNNNNNNNNNNNNNNNNNNNNNNNNNNNNNNNNNNNUAGCUCCCUCUCUCUCUCACUCUCACACCCCUCUCCCACACACACUCAAUGUCUCUUAAAAAUAGUCUGCUCCCCGCCCGCACCCAUGCUAUCCCGCUACUACACAUGCCUUUGUCUCUCUUUGACACACAUGUCACACCAUUCCCCCUUCCGUUAUACUAGGUUUACAUCAUUAGUGGUCUCUCUACUCCAAAUACACACACUCCCUCUCACACACAAAUGUGCGCACAAACACACACAAACACGCACAAACACCCAUCUAGCUAUCUGGAUCCUUCUUUUUAGACACACACCUUGCAUAUUCUCUACAACUCUAGAUAUGUAUAUACCACCCCUCUCUAGCUUACAUGCACACCCAAAUUCUCCAUCUCUCUAACUCACACAUCUCUCCCCAUGCCCGCAUGUGUAUCUCACACACUCACUCUCUGAUUAUGUCUAUGUGUCUUGACGUUACACAACACAAAGCCCCAUGUACAUGUCUCUCUCUAUCCUCCACACACAUAGACACAAAGAAUCUUUUAUCAUUGCCUCAGUCUCUAGACACAUCACAGAAGCACACUGUCUCUCUCUCUCGCAAACAUGCUCAACAAGGGUUUCCGCGUGAAUAACUUACCGUCUAUUCAUCAAUAGUCGUGGUAGUACGUCGAACACGAGAUGUGAAAAAGAAUAAAUCUACACAUGCGUAAACCACCUAGUAUGACUACUAGGACUAGAGCAAGGCGAAAGCGUGCCACCGUCACCCCCUCCUUAUUGGUGACGGGAAAACCUUUGUUUUACACAGUCGAGAAGUCAUUGUGCUAAGGCCCCACAUGUUGAGCCAUUGAAUAGAAUGUAGAUCCUAUUUUACGGAAACAAGCUACUAUUGAUAAUACAUUUGUAUCUCCAUACUUAUAUUUCUUCUCUUAUAAAAAAACGAGUUGGUGAUGAUGGUAUGCGUGCCAUCUUGCAAUAGACCGUCCAAUCUAUAUCCGAUGGAUGGAAAUUAAACUAAAAGAUACUUGCACCUCUCUCCACAUUUGCAGACAAGGCCUUCCCUUGUUCAUCCUUAUCGCCAACAACAUCAUUGUUGAGCAAUUAAAAAAGCAAGCCUCUGAAACAAACUGGCCUGGUGGCCGCUGCUGGCAUCGUCCAUCCCCUUGCCUCCACUCAGUCCGACCACCAAUCACCACCACACCCCACUACACUUCACUUUAUCUCCUCUUUCAUGAGAUAUCAUUAGUUUUUACACAUGGGAUUACUCCUACAUGGGUCAAUCACAACAAGUGUUUUAUAAAAAUAUGCAUCUUGAUGUUCCAUGCAAUGCACAGACAUCUUGCUAGUAAUCCUACAGAAGACUAAGUUGGUGAUGAUGGCGUGUCUGCCAUCCGUCAUUUUUGACUAUUAGAUCUACAUCUAACGACUGUGAGGUAAGUUGUUGCCUUUUCUCACAAACAUCCCACUUAUCUACCAAUUUGCAGAAAAAACCAUAAUUAAUAUCUUAGAACCAACCACACCCCUCCCUCACCUCACCAAAACAGCCCAAGGAAUAUUUUCUAAUUGAAACAUAAUAUAUCUCUUGUGAUAUCUACACUCUUUUAAAAAAACCGAGUUGGUGAUGAUGGUGUGCCUGCCAUGCUACAAUAUAGACCGUCCGAUCUAUAUCUGACGGAUAGAAAGAAAACUAUGACAAUUUUGCAAAAAGAUACCCGCACCCCUCUCCACAUUUGUAGAUAAGGACUUCCCUCGUUCAUCUUCGUCUCCCACAAGAUAAACAACUCGUAUAAAUGCAUCUUGAUGUUCCAUGCAACCCAUGGGCCUCUUGCUAGUAUGUAUAUCAAAAUUAGAGUGUUUUGUAUCAAGUUUGUGAAUAAGUAUUAUUCUAAUUAUGAUCCGUUUCAACGCACGUGAACAUUGCUAGUAUUUCCAACCAUUCCAAAAAAUGCUAGUAUUUCCAUAGUUUCGAGUUUUCCAUCAAUAUAUUAGUCACCCAUGGUUGAUAUUUACUUUCAAUCAUGUACACAUAGGCACUAUUUAACUAGCCUUGCUUAUUGGCUUCAAAGCUUAACUUUCACUCCUACUUACAAUAUGUAGAGUAUUUAACAAAAAAGUACCACUUACAACCAGCCCCAGGAAGAAACUAUUGUACAAAAAAAUAGCAAAAACAUACCCAAAAUUUCUUAAUCCGUGCCAAAAACUACUACCUAGUGCCGAUUAGGCUCGUUUAAACCCGUUUAUGACAGGGUUGGCCCACACGUCCGUGCUGAUGAGGCAGCUUAAACCAACACAUUUUGUUUGACUGUUGACACGGGGGACCCACAUCUGACCUUCUAUCUUGUUUUUCCUGUACAUGAAAUCAUUGUUCUUCCUGAACAUUACUUCAAACAGUACUGAUGCGUGUUCGUCGGUGGUGCCGGUGAUGAGGGAGUUGGCAGCCGCUCCGCCGGACAGGUCGGACGCCGUGCUGGCCACUACACGGGUUGGCAGGCUGGCCCGAGUGUGACUCACGCGCGAGCAAGCCGCCGCGCUGGCCUUUGCUCGAGCCAGAUGGCUGGCCUUAGCGCGGCGCGCGCGAGCAAGCCGUUGUGCCACCGUGCAAAUCUAGCUAGCAAACCUUGUAGACAAGCAGCUGGACGGAGCUAUCUUCGCUAGCUAGCGGCCAUGAGCGCCGGGCGGAGCUGGCAUCCGGGCUGCCGCAAGAUGGGCUCCGCACUGCCGGCGACUUUGACCUCGCCUUCUGUCGACGGCGGUAGCUGCGUCCCAUGGUCGAGGAUGACUAGGUGGAUGGGCCGAAGGUAGGAGGUCACUCAAGGAUUUUUGUGCAGACUUACAUGUAGGUCCCACAAGUCAUAAUCCCUAACCUGCCUGUCGAAUAGAAGGCGUUGACUUAAGGGGCGACAUGGGUUGAAACGUGCCUAUAACGACACUUUGUAGAGUAGUCGUUUCUUGGUAGGGCUGGUUGGUAAGGGCAUUUAGUAUAAUGGUUGAUAAGGUAGUCUUAUCUUAAGUCUGCCAUGUAUGCAAGUAGUAGUAGUUUCUUGGCAUUAUUUGUGAUUUCUUUGCUUUAUUAGUGGUUUCUUGUAAGGAACAAUGUACUACUAGCGACAAAAGGCAACUCUAGGUUGCGUUGUACUCCAAGGAGUACUACUAGUGGUCGCCGGAGUGUAUACCUCAUUUUGUGGGUUUGGUCCCGGCCGAACGCACGGCGGCCUUGAUUUUAAAUAGUAACUUUGCUGGGAGCCAAUAUUGUAGUACACGGGUAGUUUGAGUUUUGAAGUCGAACGGAAGUGUCGCACCACAAUCUGGGUGCACUGCAUAGCCCAACCACGUGAACAGGUUUUCCUUCCCAUCAUCUCGUGGCUCACGUGAUCGCCCUAGCUGCACCUCGCUUGCAAGCUUCCUCAUCAGCUAGUAGCAUAUUUAAACUAGCGCCUCCCUAUUAAGCCCGAGGAGCCGGAAAAGCCUGGCCCGGCAUUGGGAACUGUGCAAUAUGGCUUUAUACGUAAAGUGCUAGUACUCUACUAUUACUCUCUAGCUUGUGGCAUUGCACGCGUGGACUUCACUCCAUUAUCGUCUCUAUUAAAGAAAUUCCUCUUGACGUGAUUUUUUUGAAAAGGAGGCAAAAAAGCUUUACCUCAUCUCAUUCAUAAAGAAGGAACUACUAACAAAGUUCGACGAGAUCCAUUACACCUCCACAAAUGGAAGCGAAAAGCCUAGUCUCACUGUAUCAAAUAACUCAAAUGUUCUGCCCCCGUAGUAACCAUCGCUGAUAAACAGGCUGCUAGUGUGUGCGUGUGAGGAGAGGCUGAGUAGGCCAGCUACGCACAUGAAUAGAGCACCGAGAGUACCCACUACGCAGGUGUACUUUCCCUGCAUUGAUAGUACAGUGAUGGUUCUAGAGAACGGUACUACCCUCCACUUCCAACUGUAGCUUCUUGGCCCUGAGAUUAAGAGUCCAAAACUAGUGCACUAUACUAGAAGCAUAGUACAUCGCACUACUAGUUGAGAAAGUAGUACUAGUACUGCUACAGUAGGAGUACGGAAAUAAUAGCCUCGCCCCUUCGCUAAAGAAUGAUCGAGGAGCUAUAGUUGGAAGGGACGAGGCCUUGCAGUUACUACGCUCUUAUCUCCUCCUCGCCAGUUCCCCUCCCCCCAAAGAGAAGGCAGUUUGUCGCUGAUCCCAUAGAUUCGCCAGGCGGUUCUCCUCCUCAUCAGGGCUGGGAUACCUUGGACGACAUCCUCUAGGAGAAAUCGCAUGCCGCUCCGACGUCCUCACCGCCGCGAGACUCAGUGCUUCCUGCACCAACUUUUUCAAGAUGAUACUUAAAUAGGCUUGGGAAAAGGCCAUGCUUGUUGGUCUUCCAUGCGUCCUUGAGGAGAAGGUUCUUCUAUGGGACAAUCCUUCAAACAGCCCACUGCUCCCUGGCCAUGGUUGCACGUUGACUACACUAGAGUUGCCGGCGUUGAGAGGUAGUCGGAUUUUGUCCGAUGAGCAGGUCAGUCAUGGAGUUUGAUCGUGUAGUACUUAGUUAUUCCAUUUCCAUCCCGUAGUUUGAUAGAGGCAGGGUGUCCCGUCUUUCGAUGAGAUGAUGGAUAUCGCUUUGGUGGAAGUCGACUUUGACGAUCCGACUAUGAACGUGUGAGGACGUCGCGCCUUAGCAAUCGCUAAACCAACUCCGAGAGGUUAUCGACCACGCCGGAGCACGAUCAACCUGACCACGAGGGUCUGUUUCCUGCGAGAAAACGAAGAACAAGCAAGAAACUGAGAUUGCAAUCUGGAUAUUGCGAAUAUAAGAUGAAAGCUUUAUUGAUCAAGGUGGGGUUCUGUGACGCCUUUGUCUGGUCGUUGAACACAAACGAAGUAUGCGAAGUUGCAGCUAUGGCGAACUUUCAAUCUAAACAAAACCCAAAGUCUAAACGGUGCCCUAAGGGCUGUAUAUAUGGAGGAAGAGAGGGGGAAUUUCGUGGCCCUUGGUGGAGGGGUCCGAAAUCAACCCCAUCUCUUGUUUCCCCACACAUACGGACUCUAAAAAUAGCCUAUACUUAUGUAUUUCGAAAUUACAUGGGCCUGGCCCAAUAAAAAGGUGACGCAGCACCUAUAAUAGCCUCUGGACGAAAUUUAUGAAGUGACAUCUUGUAUAUUUCGUCCAAGGCUUCAUGCACUCGUUAUGGAGGCUUCAAAGACCUGAAAUCAUCACUUGUAACUCUGUUCUUGUUCCCCUUGCGCAUGCCAUCAUCUCCAUGCUUGUUCUUGCUCCAAUGUUCAUCCUUCUCCAAGCUAGGCCCUUCAUUUGUAAGCAAAACAAAUGUAUCCAAUUUAGGAAGCAUCAUAUUCUCAUGAACAUUAGAAUCAUUACCAAGAAACGGAAGUACAUGGUAAUUUAGUUGGCGUGCGCGAGCUCUAGUAAUUGGUCCAGUAUGUAUAGCAGCAGAGGUUGUGGGUGUAACAAUGGUAUUGAUGUCCUCAUCAUCCUCCCCUUCUUGAAAUGAAGUCGUCCUCGACGGAAGCUCAUCUUCCUCACCCAAAUAAGGCUUCAAAUCUGCAAUGUUAAAAGUGGGACUAACCCCAAAAUCUGCAGGCAGCUCAAGUUUAUAUGCAUUAUCAUUUAUUUUCUCUAACACCUUAAAGGGACCAUCAGCCCAUGGCAUGAGCUUUGAUUUGCGCAAAUCAGGAAAUCUAUCCUUACGCAAAUGUAACCAAACAAGAUCUCCAGGUGCAAACACAACAUGUUUUCUACCCUUAUCUCCAGCAAGUUUAUAUUUGGCAUUCAUACGCUCAAUGUUUUCCUUAGUUAACUCAUGCAUUUUUAAAAUCAAUUCAGCACGUUGUUUAGCAUCAAAAUUAACCUUCUCCGAAGAUGGAAGAGGCAACAAAUCAAUAGGUGCAUGAGGUAGGAAACCAUACACAACUUCAACUUAGUAGUAGAAUGCAAUGAACGAUUAUAAGCAAAUUCAAUAUGAGGCAAGCAUUCCUCCCACAUUUUCUUAUUACUCUUCAAAACAGCCCUAAGCAUAGUAGACAAUGUUCUAUUGACUACUUCAGUUUGGCCAUCAGUUUGGGGGUGACAAGUAGUACUAAAAAGCAGUUUAGUCCCCAACUUAGCCCAUAAACAUCUCCAAAAGUGGCUAAGAAAUUUAGUAUCACGAUCUAAAACAAUAGUAUUUGGGACACCAUGCAAGCGAAUAAUUUCACGAAAGAACAAAUCAGCAACAUUAACAGCAUCAUCGCUUUUAUGACAUGGUAUAAAGUGUGCCAUUUUCGAGAAUCUAUCCACGACAACAAAUAUGCUAUCCCUCCCCUUCUUUGUUCGAGGUAAACCUAAAACAAGGUCCAUAGAUAUAUCCUCCCAAGGAACACUAGGUACAGGCAAAGGCAUAUAUAAACCAUGAGGAUUGAGUCGUGACUUAGCUUUUUGACAUGUAGUGCAGCGAGCAAUAAAACGCUCAACAUCCCAUCUCAUCUUUGGCUAAAAGAAAUGUGUAGCAAGUACGUCCUCCGUCUUCUUCACGCCAAAGUGUCCCAUUAAUCCUCCUCCAUGCGCCUCCUGCAACAACAAAAGACGAACGGAGCUAGCUGGAAUGCAUAGCUUGUUAGCACGAAACACAAAUCCAUCGUUAACGACAAACUUGUUCCACAUUCUUCCUUCUUUACAAUUCUGCAUUACAUCUUUAAAAUCAGCAUCAUGCACAUAUUGAUCUUUGAUGGUCUCCAAACCAAAUAUUUUGAAGUCAAGUUGUGAAAGCAUAGUAUAGCGACGAGACAAUGCAUCAGCAAUAACAUUUUCUUUUCCCUUCUUGUGUUUAAUGACAUAAGGGAAAGUCUCAAUGAAUUCAACCCAUUUAGCAUGUCUACGAUUCAGUUUAGUUUGACUUUUAAUAUGUUUCAAAGAUUCAUGAUCAGAAUGUAUAACAAAUUCGUUGGGCCAUAAAUAAUGUUGCCAUGUUUCUAAAGUCCGAACAAGAGCAUAUAAUUCUUUAUCAUAAGUAGAAUAAUUCAGACUAGGCCCACUCAAUUUUUCAGAAAAGUAUGAAACAGGUUUGCCAUCUUGUAAUAACACACCUCCUAAUCCAAUUCCACUAGCAUCACGUUCAAGCUCAAAAGUCUUAUUAAAAUCAGGAAGUUGGAGUAAAGGAGCAUGUGUCAACUUAUCUUUCAAUACCGAGAAGGCUUCUUCCUGUGCGGUACCCCAAAGAAAAGGCACAUCUUUCUUUGUAAGCUCAUUCAGAGGUGCAGCAAUGGUGCUAAAAUCUCUCACAAAACGCCUAUAGAAUCCAGCGAGGCCAAGAAAACUCCUCACUUGUGUGACCGUUUUGGGCUGCGGCCAACUCUCAAUAGCUUCAAUCUUGGCUUUAUCAACUUCAAUUCCCUGUGGAGUAACAACAUAGCCAAGAAAAGAUACUCGGUCGGUGCAAAAGGUGCACUUCCCAAGGUUACCAAACAAACGUGCAUCAUGUAGAGCAAUAAAAACAGCACGUAAAUGUUCCAAAUGUUCUUCCAAAGAUCUGCUAUAAAUCAGUAUAUCAUCAAAAUAGACUACCACAAAUCGUCCAAUGGAAGCACGUAAAACUUCGUUCAUUAGUCUCAUGAAAGUACUAGGCGCAUUAGUUAACCCAAAAGGCAUGACUAACCACUCAUAUAAUCCAAACUUAGUUUUAAAUGUUGUUUUCCAUUCAUCUCCCAAUUUCAUACGAAUUUGAUGGUAUCCACUACGCAAAUCAACUUUGGAGAAUAUUGUAGAGCCACUCAAUUCAUCAAGCAUAUCAUCUAGCCUAGGAAUAGGAUGACGAUAACGAAUAGUAAUAUUAUUAAUGCCUCUACAAUCAACACACAUACACGAUGUACCAUCCUUUUUCGGCACUAGAAUAAUAGGGACAACACAAGGACUAAGGGAUUCGCGUAUAUAACCCUUGUCGAGAAGCUCUUGUACUUGACGCUUAAUCUCCUUCGCCUCCUCUGGAUUGGUACGGUAUGGCGCACGGUUUGGCAGUGAAGCACCGGGAAUUAAGUCGAUCUGAUGCUCAAUCCCUCGAAUAGGUGGUAAUCCCGGUGGCACGUCUUGUGGAAAGACGUCAGCGAACUCCUGCAAAAUGUUAGUGAUAGCAGGAGGCAAAGAGGAAGGCACGUCCUCGAAUGAAAAUAAUGCCUCUUUGCACACAAAAGCAUAGCAAACAGAUUUGCUGAAAACUAGCUCAUCAAUAUCAGAUUUGGUGGCAAAUAAACAUGCACUUUUCAAUUUAAUUUUAGAAGCAACACUAUAUGGUUUAUUAUUAGGCUUCAUUUGUUGCUCAAAUUCUUUUGCCACAAUCUGAUUUUCACUCUUAUUCUUCUCUUGUUUUGCUUUAUUAGCUCUAUUAAUAUCAUCUUUCAAAAUAGAAUCAGGAGUCAUAGGAAGCAAAGUAAUAUUUUUAUCCUUAUGAACAAGAGUAUACUGAUUGUUUCUACCAUGGUGUACAGAAUUUUUAUCAAAUUGCCAUGGUCUACCAAGUAAUAAGGAACAUGCUUGCAUAGGUACCACAUCACAAUCAACAUAAUCAGCAUAUGUAGAUAUACUAAAAUGCACACGAACAAUACGUGUUACCUUAACCUUGCCGCUGUUGUUGAACCAUUGGAUGUAGUAAGGAUGUGGAUGUGGUCUUGUGGUGAGAGAAAGCUUCUCCACCAUCUCCAUGCUAGCCAAGUUGUUGCAGCUCCCUCCAUCUAUGGUGACGCGCACAGAACGUUCUUUCACAACUCCCUUGGUAUGGAACAAAUUGUGCCUCUGAUUUUGCUCAGCUUGUGUGACCUGCACACUCAAAACAUGUUGAGCAACUAAACAUUCAUACCUGUCAGCGUCUUCAGGAGCCAUGUAUUGCGUCUCAUGAUCAGAAUCAUCUCCACCAUGUUCUUCACGUGUAAUAAGAGCCAAAGUCUCCUCAUCAUAGUCACUAGCGGACUCAUAUCCACCAUCCGCAGUAGCAAUCAUCACACGCGGAGAUUUGCAUUCUCUCACAUAAUGACCUCCUCCCUUACAACGACGACAAAUAAUAUCACUUGUGUGCCCUGUUGAUGCCAUGGAAGAAGAACUCUGUGCAGGCCCGGCAGGUGCGCCCUUGGCAGAUAAUGGUGGUUGUGCCUGUUUUCUUGUAUCACGACUGGAGGAGGCACCUGAUUGAGGUGCUGGUGCAGUUGAAGUAGAAGAUGCACGUGGUGUCCAUGAUGAAGGUCGGCCUGCAGAAAAGUUAGUUCGCGCCAAUGCUUGUCGAUCCUGCACUUCACGUUCAGCUUUACAAGCAAGAUGGAAUAAACGAGUGAUAUUAGUAUACUCCUUGUAGUCUAGAAUGGUCUGAAUCUCUCUAUUUAAUCCACCCAGAAAACGUGCAAGCAUAGCUUCAUUCUCCUCAACAAUACCACAUCUAAUCAUGCCAGUUUGUAAUUCCUGAUAAUAUUCUUCUACAGAAUUUUUCCCUUGUCUUAAACGCUGUAAUUUUUGAAGCAACUCACGUUGAUAAUAUGGUGGAACCCAACGCGUACGCAUAGCAGUUUUCAAAGCAGCCCAAGUAGUUGGAAUAGGAUAUAAUCUACAAUGUUCAGACCACCAUACACAUGCAAAACUAGUGAAAGCACAAACAGCAGCAGCAACCCGUCUCUCCUCAGGAUAUUGUAAACAUGUAAAUCGUUGUUCAGUUUCUAACUCCCAAGUAAGAUAUAUAUCAGGAACAUAUCUACCCUCAAAUGGUGGAAUAUUCAAUUUCAGUUUAGGAAUAUGGACAUCAUCUCGUACCUGAGGUGGUGGUGCAGGCCUACCAUUACGAAUAUAUACCUGAGGUCGACCUACUGGUGGUGGUGCUGGUGGCUGCACGUAGUUCGGAUUUUGAUCAACCUCAUCCUCAUAAUCGCCCGCAUACUCAUCAUCCUCCGCAUCAACAGUAGGAGCCACAGAAGUAUCAACAGCAGCACCAACAGUUUGGCCAAACGCAAGAGGGACACGGCUCGCUCGGCGGAGGUCUGUUUCGCGACGUGGAGGUAGUCGUUGUUGUUGUUGUUGUUGGAGAGGUGCGUUAGGUGCAGCGGGUGGUGGUGGUGGAAGACGCGCGAGCAAUUCAUUAAACUUGUUAUCGAGCUUUGUUUCGAACGUCUUCUCCAUGCCAUCUAUCUUCUCCAUGGCCUCUUCAAAUCUGUUUAACACAUCUUGCACCUGUCCACUCAUCAUUUGCUGAAAUUUAUCAUGUAGCUGUUUGUUCGUCAGGUUCUCCCAAUCAGUCUCAUCGGCUUGUGAUCCUACCAUGGUUAGCAGCAAAUAGAAACACACAAGAAUAUGAUCCUACACACUACUAAGAAGUGGUGGUGGUGUAUAACAAACCCGUCAAGCAAACCUCAAAUUCUUACCAGUUCUUACCCAGCAGCAGGUGGUGAUCGGCAGCCGUUGUAGUCAAAACUCUCAAAGCUUGGAUAGAGCGAUUACCAGGGAGAGUCAAACGCACGACGUAGAUGUAUGUGGAGCUGGGAAGGCUUAUAAUAUGGUAGCAAAAAGGGUCAGCAAUAAUCAAUUCAGAGAUGCAAAGUUGAAUAAACGCUCAACGAUGGCACUGUGCUGGUCCUAGGCUAGACCGUGCUAGAGACACGAGCCUAGAACACUAACAAAAUCAUGGCGCUGCACGUAAACAAGGGAAAAGCACACUCUGGAAUAUUUUUUUCGCUCUUUUUUUUUGCGCUGCUCUUUUUUUUGCGCUGCUCUUUUUUUUUUGCGAAAAAUCACUAUAAUGGCGAGUGUCUCAAAACUCUUCCCAGGUCAAACUGACAGGAUGGGCAUGAAAUUUUUUCGACCAAAUUUUUUUUUUCGACUGCCUGGACCCAAAAACUGGAAACGGGUCAAAAAAAACUUUCUAUAACGGCGACUGUCUCAAUACGCUUAGAAACACCUAAAAUUAGGAUAGCCAGAUUUUUUUUUUGUCAAGUGCGUUUUCCGAAAAUUUUGGGCCUAAACGGAGGGUGGUUUCCGGAACCUACUCCGGCAAGGAAACACGAAUCGGAAACUAGAUGGAUCUCGAAAACAAACCUAAUAUGACAAGAACUCGGAUUGGUGGUGGAUAUAUGGCGGUAGAUGGCAGCGGUGGUGGUAUAUGACAGCGGUGGUGGUAUAUGGAUACGGAUUCGAAGCGGUGGCGGAUAAGCGGUGGUGGUAGAUGGCAGGGGCGAUGAUGAUGGUGCGGCGGCGGCGUGACAACUUAUGACCAGAACUCGAAACUCUAAAAGACUAGACUCUAAGACCAGCAACUAGACACGACGAUGCAACCGCAAAUUCAACAAAGCAAAACGCUAAAAAGAUUAUGCAAAGGCUCAGAUUGGUUCGGAUAUGAUGAACUAACCCUAAUUUUUUUGGCUUUUUCAUGGACUGUAGGUAUGAAAAACAGACUCGAUCUAAACUACAAAAAACUGUAAAAUCUCACCGAGCAACCUGGAAAUCUGAUACAACUUGAUAGAGGCGGGGUGUCCCGUCUUUCGAUGAGAUGAUGGAUAUCGCUUUGGUGGAAGUCGACUUUGACGAUCCGACUACGAACGUGCGAGGACGUCACGCCUUAGCAAUCGCUAAACCAACCCCGAGAGGUUAUCGACCACGCCGGAGCACGAUCAACCUGACCACGAGGGUCUGUUUCCUGCGAGCAAACGAAGAACAAGCAAGAAACUGAGAUUGCAAUCUGGAUAUUGCGAAUAUAAGAUGAAAGCUUUAUUGAUCAAGGUGGGGUUCUGUGACGCCUUUGUCUGGUCGUCGAACACAAACGAAGUACGCGAAGUUGCAGCUAUGGCGAACUUUUAAUCUAAACAAAACCCAAAGUCUAAACGGUGCCCUAAGGGCUGUAUAUAUGGAGGAAGAGAAGGGGAAUUUCGUGGCCCUUGGUGGAGGGGUCCGAAAUCAACCCUAUCUCUUGUUUCCCCACACAUACGGACUCUAAAAAUAGCCUAUACUUAUGUAUUUCGAAAUUACAUGGGCCUGUCCCAAUAAAAAGGUGACGCAGCACCUAUAAUAGCCUCUGGACGAAAUUUAUGAAGUGACAUCUUGUAUAUUUCGUCCAAGGCUUCAUGCACUCGUUAUGGAGGCUUCAAAGACCUGAAAUCAUCACUUGUAACUCUGUUCUUGUUCCCCUUGCGCAUGCCAUCAUCUCCAUGCUUGUUCUUGCUCCAAUGUUCAUCCUUCUCUAAGCUAGGCCCUUCAUUUGUAAGCAAAACAAAUGUAUCCAAUUUAGGCAGCAUCAUAUUCUCAUGAACAUUAGAAUCAUUACCAAAAAACGAAAGUACCUAGUAAUUUAGUUGGCGUGCGCGAUCUCUAGUAAUUGGUCCAGUAUGUAUAGCAGCAGGGGCUGUGGGUGUAACAAUGGUAUUGAUGUCCUCAUCAUAGUUUCUCUGCUUCCCACCGUCUUAUAUAUAGGUCUGGGUCGGUGCCAACAAAGAUUGGCUUGCAUACCUCCGGCAGGACACCACCAUCAUUUUGCACAACAUCCACAGCAGUGCGGCCGUUCCCGUAGACCCCUUCUCAACCAUUGGGAUCGGCCUUCUGGACUGGCUGGGCGUGAAUGCGUAUGAUGAUGCCUACAUGAGAUUGAAGAAGAUAGCAAUUGCGGACCCACCGACAAAGCGACGUGGCUACGAUGAUUACUAUCUCAUCGCGGUGUUCGACAUAAGGAUUGCCAUCAAUGCAAGAGGCAGUAACGGAAGAGGCUGGCGCAUAUUGGCUACGGCAGAUUUGUACCCCUACACGUUUGAAGACGUCGUGCGCCAUCUAGGCAGCAUCUUCAUAGUGACAAGCCAGGGUACUUGUUUCAUCUGGUUGCCAUCCUACGAUACGGGAGAUUACAAACGGAAUGCACAAACCAUCAUUUGCAUCCCUAAUGGUACUCCACUAUUUUGUAGGGACCAGUCAUCCCCCGAUCAAAAUAAGAUCGCCGAUCCUGGAUGUGCAUUUGCAUCCGUGAUUCGGUCUAACCUGGAACCUUGUAGCUGACUUUGGCAUAUUGGGAUCAACUAUCUUAGCAGUCGUUACCCAUGUUACCACGGAUGUGCAACAUGGUCACACCAUCUACAAUGAUCGUACUAUCACCAUCUACCCAGGUAUUCCAUUUAGUAUUAUAUUUUUUAACCCUCUUGCCUUCUCUUUCGUUGUUGUACUACUUACUAGUACUAGUAGGAGUACUUUUACCUUGGAGGACGAGUAUAGCUAGCUAGGACCUUGAAGACAUGAACCCACUAGCUUCCACCAUUUUUGUUUUUCCAUGUCUUACUAUCUCAUCCAUGUAGCCAAGAGUGGCUAUAUAUAAAAAGCCGGUUAUUUUACUUCCUCUAUACUAGAGUAGUACUAUUUGUUGCACAGUAUUACUGACCUCCAUAUUUGAGCACAACAUUAUUAUGCAUGGACCUUGACUGUGUACGUCACCAUGUGUCCAGAUCUGAGAUGCCGCGUGUACCAGAUGAAUGGCGCCGAUUUGGACCCCCGUGACGGUACGUGGGUGCCCAGGAACACUCUUGGAGAGUACUCACUUUUCAUUGGGGACAGCUACCCCAUUGUGAAGUGGAUGCCACCUUCCGUGCACGACACCGAAGGCCUGCCGUUCAUGAAGCAUCAUUGUGUCUUUAGUGUGCACCGCCGGAUGAACGACAUGCUGGGACACGCUAUCCCUGAUUUAUGCCACUUCAGCUUGGAUGAGUCUCCAUCGUGUGGAACCGGACUAGAAAGCUGUGACAAUGAUUCCCGUUUCCCACCGAUAUGGAUCGUGCCAUCCAUGAAGAACAACUGGGACUGGAACCUGCAGGAGGACAUGUAGCCCAUCUAUAAUGUGUAAGUGGGGUAUGGUAAAUUGUGAACGGUAGCGCAGUGAAUAUAUGUAGACUAGUCGUGCACAAAUUUAUCACAUGAAUUGGAGAUGAACUUGUGUGGCAUACUCGCAUUUGUCCUUUAGAAUUUAUUACUAGUAAAUGUGUUAUGUGUACGUGCAACUUGUGUGGUUGUUGCACGGGAUCCAACACGCUCAUCGAGAAAAAAAAGGUGGCGCAGCUUUGGAUAUAGGUGACGUGGCGGCAUCAUACAGUAGCAUCGUUCGCUAUAGUCGUAAUACUCCUAAUAGGAUGACAACUCCUAUAAAACCUUGCGCUUGGCUCUUUGCCUCGUCGGGAGGUUCAACAGUUCGUACUCGUGUGAACCUUGCACUUGGCUCUUCGCCUCUUCGGAAGCUCCAACAAUGAUGAUACUACAAUACAAUAUGAUAGAGGCGAGGGUGUCCCGAUCUUUCGAUGAGAUGAUAACUAUCGAUUUGGUGGAGACGACUUUGACGAUCCGACUACAAACAUGCACGACGUUGCGCCUUAGCAAUCGCUAAACCAACUCCGAGAGGUUAUUGACCACGCUGGAGCACGAUCAACCUGACCAUGAAGGUCUAUUCCUGCAAGCAAUCGAAGAACAAGCAAGAAUAUGAUGAAGCAAUUUGAAUAUUGUGAAUAUAUAUGAAGUAUUGAUAAUGGUGGGGAUCCGUAAGCGGUCUUGGUGUGGUCGUUGGACUCAAACAAAGUACACGAAGUUGCAAUGGCUAACUUUUAACUAAACAAAUCCCAAGGAAAAAGCUACUAGAUGGAUCUACUUAUAUAGGAGCAAGGGGUGGCGGCCAAGGAGGUGGGAGGACGUUCCAAGGCAGCCUAAAACUAACCCUAGGUCGUACAAGGCUCAUGGGCCCAAGUGAAGGUGAUGCAACACCUUUGGGCUUGUAGUUUGACUCGGAUUCUACUGCAACAUCAGAUUGUUUCGUCCGUAACUCAAAGCUCCGGGCGAAUUUGAAGGUGAAUCCAAUUGGGAUGGAAAGAGCACGAAAUCUAGUUUCCAACAAAAAAAGAAUCACCCAAUUCGGAGUUCGUAUGAAAAAGUUGUUGGCGUUUUGAGUCAGGUAUGUUUGUGCAGUCCGAAUCUGAAUCCAGAACGUGAGAGACUUGGACUCUAUCUUCUCUUGGCCCAAAAGUGACGUGAGAGGACUUUUUGAACACAACCUAAACAUCUCCUUUUCCCUUAUCUUCAUAUGUGGAUUGUACAAAUGUCCCAUACACCUGCAAUUAGACAAAACACAAAAGUGUGUGAAGCAUUUUUGUUCUGGAUAACAUAAAUAGACUAUUGAAUAGUUUGCAUUAGAAAUCACCUGACAAAUAUGCAUGUAUACAAUAUUUUUGGUCGUAUCCAAGGUAGUCAUGUCCUCAUCAUCCUCCCCUUUUUGAAAACAAAGCCGUCCUCGGCAUUGCUUAAUCUGAAAUGUGGCUAACAAAAAAGACAAGGUGUACAUGUUGUAUAUGUAUAUGUCAUCCAUUUUAACUUCCCUUGAUUUUUGCACAUAUGCCACAUGUAUACAUGAGUAACUUUCAUUGUUCAUAAAAUCUAAAGCCAAAAAAUUAUCACAAGUAGAAGGCAUGAAAAUAUUGCAACUCAGUUUGCACAUAUAAGUGAAGCUCUUAUUCACUUUAAAAGAUUGGCAAUGUUCAUCAUUAAACCAUCCUAACUUUGAUGAAUAAACCUUACUUGCAUCAAAUUUACAUGCUACAACAUGCUUAAAUAAGCAAACAUGCAAUAAGUCAUUAGACACAGAAUCAUCAUCAAGAUUAGAGGUCAUAUCAAAAUGAUUAAACAUUGGUUCUUUUGCAUCAACAGUUAAUUCAAUGGGUGCACUCAAAUUUUUUGAUAUUUCAGUUGUUUGAUCACAUGACGCAUUCAUGACAGUAACAAGAGUCUCUAAAAUAGGUGGUGUGCUCAAAUCAAUAGGCAACUCAACACAUGAUGCAUCCAAGUUAACUAGGCAUGCUUCAUUCUCAUGUGAAGUUAUAUCAUCAAGACCUUUACUGUUACCUCGCAGAGAUGUAGCUGAUGUAGGUACGGACGUUGACAAUGUACCAUACUCUUGAGAUGAUAUUGCGCUCACAAUCCGAGGUGGGGCUGCUCUAGUAGGUGCAAUAGUGGAGUAACCAACCGGCGGUGGUGAGCAUCAACUGGAAUAGUAGUUGUUGUAGUCACCCAAUGCAUCCUCCUAUAUUUGUCUCUCAAAGGUACAAGCACGGACAUACAUACCAGUAAUGCAACAAGGAAUAUACUGAAAUCUUGCCUGAAUAUCAUGGUUCAAACCACCAAAAAAUCUAUUCAUUAUAUCAUCCUCAGAUUCUUCUAUGUCACAAUGAUGCAUAUAAGAUUUGAACUCUUGGUAGUAAGCAUGAACAGUGUUACUGCCUUGUUUUAAUUGCUCCAAUUUGCGACGCAAUUCACGACAAUAGUAAGGAGGAAAAAAUUGUUGUCUCAUUACAGCUUUCAAAACUUUCCAAGUUAUGGGUUGGUUAUCAAUGUUUUUCUUAUAAUGUACACUCCACCAAACAGAAGCAAAACCAGUAAAUGCUCUAAUGGUAGCUCGUACUCUCUCAAGUUCAGAAAAAUCAUGGUGACUAAAAACUUGUUCUACUUCAAGCUCCCAAGCUAGAUAAAUAGCAGGAUUAAAUCUACCCUCAAAUGAUGGUAAAGAGAUAACCUGACCAUAUGCUUGUGUGUGUUGUCCCAACUCUCGUGAUGGUGAAGAUGUGUCUGUCAUCCAAGAACUUCUAUCUCUGGAACCUGUCAUGAUUAGUAGAAACAAGAACCAAAAUUCGAGAAUAAUGUUCCUAUGAACUACUAGGAUGUGGUUGUAAAGUGCUCACAGUAAAGCAAAUAUCAAUAUAUUACAAGUUCUUACCAUGCGGCAGGUGGUGACAGGCAACCAGCGGUGUCAAAUAACUCUGAAGAUUGUGUAAAACGAUUGCCAGGGGAACGUACGUAUACACGGUGUAGAAAUAUGUGGAGCUGGUGAUGAGGACAUCAAUACAAUUGUUACACCCACAGCCCCUGCUGCUAUACAUACUGGACCAAUUACUAGAGCUCGUGCACGCCAACUAAAUUACCAGGUACUUUCGUUUCUUGGUAAUGAUUCUAAUGUUCAUGAGAAUAUGAUGCUGCCUAAAUUGGAUACAUUUGUUUUGCUUACAAAUGAAGGGCCUAGCUUGGAGAAGGAUGAACAUUGGAGCAAGAACAAGCAUGGAGAUGAUGGCAUGCGCAAGGGGAACAAGAACGGAGUUACAAGUGAUGAUUUCAGGACUUUGAAGCCACCAUAAUGGGUGCAUGAAGCCUUGGACGAAAUAUACAAGAUGCCACUUCAUAAAUUUCGUCCCGAGGCUAUUUUAGGUGCUGCGUCAGCUUAUUAUUGGGCCAGGCCCAUGUAAUUUCGAAAUACAUAAGUAUAGGCUAUUUUUAGAGUACGUAUGUGUGGGGAAACAAGAGAUAGGGUUGAUUUCGGACCCCUCCACCAAGGGCCACGAAAUUCCCCCCCUCUUCCUCCAUAUACAGCCCUUAGGGCAUCGUUUAGACUUCGGGUUUUGUUUAGAUUAAAAGUUCGCCAUAGCUGCAACUUCGCGUACUUCGUUUGUGUUCAACGACCAGACAAAGGUGUCACAGAACCCCACCUUGAUCAAUAAAGCUUUCAUCUUAUAUUCGCAAUAUCCAGAUUGCAAUCUCAGUUUCUUGCUUGUUCUUCAUUUGCUCACAGGAAACAGACCCUCGUGGUCAGGUUGAUCAUGCUCCGGCGUGGUCGAUAACCUCUCGGAGUUGGUUUAGCGAUUGCUAAGGCGCGACGUCGUCGCACGUUCGUAGUCGGAUCGUCAAAGUCGACUUCCACCAAAGCGAUAUCCAUCAUCUCAUCGAAAGACGGGACACCUUUGCCUCUAUCAAGUGGUAUCAGAUUUCCAGGUUGCUUGGUGAGAUUUUACAGUUUUUCGUAGUUUAGAUCGAGUCUGUUCUUCAUACCUACAGUCCACGAAAAAGCCAAAAAAAAUUAGGGUUAGUUCAUCAUAUCCGAACCAAUCUGAGCCUUUGCAUAAUCUUUUUAGGGUUUUGCUUUGUUGAAUUUGCGGUUGCAUCGUCGUGUCUAGUUGCUGGUCUUAGCGUUAGUCUUUUAGAGUUUCGAGUUCUGGUCAUAAGUUGUCACGCCGCCUCCGCACCAUCAUCAUCGCCCCUGUCACCUACCACCACUGCUCUGAAUCCGUAUCCAUAUACCACCACCAAUCCGUAUCCAGAUACCACCACCGAUCCAUAUCCAUAUAUUACCACCGCUGCCAUAUACCACCACCGCUGCCAUAUACCACCACCAUAUAUCCUCCACCAAUCCGAGUUCCUUGCAUAUUAGGUGUGUUUUUGAGAUCCAUCUAGAUUCCGAUUCGUGUUUCCUUGCCGGAGUGGGUUUCGAAAAAAAAGAGUCCGGAAACCACCCUCCGUUUAGGCCCAAAAUUUUUCGAAAACGCAUUUUUCGAAAAAAUUUCUGGCUAUCCUAUUUUUAGGUGUUUCUGAGUGUUUUGAGACAGGUGCCAUUAUAGGAAGUUUUUUUGACCCGUUUCCAGUUUUUGGGUCCGGGCAGUCGAAAAAGCGAAAAAAAAAAUUUGGUCGAAAAAAUUUCGUGCCCAUCCUGUCAGUUUGACCUAGGAAGAGUUUUGAGACACUCGCCAUUAUAGUGAUUUUUCGCAAAAAAAAGCAGCGCAAAAAAAAGAGCGAAAAAAAAUUCCAGAGUGUGCUUUUUCCUUGUUUACGUGCAGCGCCGUGAUUUUGUUAGUGUUCUAGGCUCGCGUCUCUAGCACGGUCUAGCCUAGGACCAACACAGUACCGUCGUUGAGCGAUUAUUCAACUUUGCAUCUCUGAAUUGAUUAUUGCUGACCCUUUUUGCUACCAUAUUAUAAGCCUUCCCAGCUCCACAUACAUCUACGUCGUUCGUUUGACUCUCCCUGGUAAUCGCUCUAUCCAAGCUUUGAGAGUUUUGACUACAACGGUUGCCGAUCACCGCCUGCUGCUGGGUAAGAACUGGUAAGAAUUUGAGUUUUGCUUGACGGGUUUGUGAUACACCACCACCACUUCUUAGUAGUCUGUAGGAUCAUAUUCUUGUUUGUUUCUAUUUGCUGCUAACCAUGGUAGGAUCACAAGCCGAUGAGACUGAUUGGGAGAACCUGACGAACAAACAGGUACAUGAUAAAUUUUAGCAAAUGAUGAGUGGACAGGUGCAAGAUGUGCUAAACAGAUUUGACGAGGCCAUGGAGAAGAUAGAUGGCAUGGAGAAGACAUUCAAAAUAAAGCUUGAUAGCAAGUUUAAUGAAUUGCUCGCGCGUUUACCACCACCACCGCCGGCUGCACCUAUCACACCUCUGCAACACCAACAACAACGCAUCCUUCCGAAUCAGUAUGGACGAGCGAAGCGUGUUCCUAUUGAGGAUGGCCAAACUUCUGGUGCUGCUGUUCCUGUUAUUGAUGCUUCUUUGGCUCCUGCUACUACUGCUGCUGGUACCCAGGAGGAUGAUGAGUAUGCGGGCGAUUAUGAGGAUGAGGUUGAUCAAAAUCAGAACUACGUGCACCCACCAGCACCACCACCAGCAGGUCGACCUCAGGUAUAUAUUCGUAAUGGUAGGCCUGCACCACCACCUCAGGUACGAGAUGAUGUGCAUAUUCCUAAACUGAAAUUGAAUAUUCCACCAUUUGAGGGUAGAUAUGUUCCUGAUAUAUAUCUUACUUGGGAGUUAGAAACUGAACAACGUUUUACAUGUUUACAAUAUCCCGAGGAGAGACGGGUUGCUGCUGCUGUUUGUGCUUUCACUAGUUUUGCAUGUGUAUGGUGGUCUGAACAUUGUAGAUUAUAUCCUAUUCCAACUACUUGGGCUGCUUUGAAAACUGCUAUGCGUACGCGUUGGGUUCCACCAUAUUAUCAACGUGAAUUGCUUCAAAAAUUGCAGCGUUUAAGACAAGGGAAAAAUUCUGUAGAAGAAUAUUAUCAGGAAUUACAAACUGGCAUGAUUAGAUGUGGUAUUGUUGAGGAGAAUGAAGCUAUGCUUGCACGUUUCCUGGGUGGAUAAAAUAGAGAGAUUCAGACCAUUCUAGACUAUAAGGAGUAUACUAAUAUCACUCGUUUAUUCCAUCUUGCUUGUAAAGCUGAACGUGAAGUGCAGGAUCGACAAGCAUUGGCGCGAUCUAACUUUUCUGCAGGCCGACCUUCAUCAUGGACACCGCGUGCAUCUUCUACUUCAACUGCACCAGCACCUCAAUCAGGUGCCUCCUCCAGUCGUGAUACAAGAAAACAGGCACAGCCACCAUUAUCUGCCAAGAGCGCACCUGCUGGGCCUGCACAGAGUUCUUCUUCUUCCAUGGCAUCAACAGGGCACACAAGUGAUAUUAUUUGUCGUCGUUGUAAGGGAGGAGGUCAUUAUGCGAGAGAAUGCAAAUCUCCGCGUGUGAUGAUUCCACCGCAGAUGGUGGAUAUGAGUCCGCUAAUGACUGUGAUGAGGAGACUUUGGCUCUUAUUACACGUGAAGAACAUGGUGGAGAUGAUUCUGAUCAUGAGACGCAAAACAUGGCUCCUGAAGACGCUGACAGGUAUGAAUGUUUAGUUGCUCAACGUGUUUUGAGUGUGCAGGUCACACAAGCUGAGCAAAAUCAGAGGCACAAUUUGUUCCAUACCAAGGGAGUUGUGAAGGAAUGUUCUGUGCGCGUCAUCAUAGACGGAGGGAGCUGCAACAACUUGGCUAGCAUGGAGAUGGUGGAGAAGCUUUCUCUCACCACAAGACCACAUCCACAUCCUUACUACAUCCAAUGGUUCAACAACAGCGGCAAGGUUAAGGUAACACGUACUGUUCGUGUGCAUUUUAGUAUCUCUACAUAUGCUGAUUAUGUUGAUUGUGAUGUGGUACCUAUGCAAGCAUGUUCCUUAUUACUUGGUAGACCAUGGCAAUUUGAUAAAAAACUCUGUACACCAUGGUAGAAACAAUCACUAUACUCUUGUUCAUUAGGAUAAAAAUAUUACUUUGCUUCCUAUGACUCCUGAUUCCAUUUUGAAAGAUGAUAUUAAUAGAGCUAAUAAAGCAAAACAGGAGAAGAAUAAGAGUGAAAAUUAGAUUGUGGCAAAAGAAUUUGAGCAACAAAUGAAGCCUAAUAAUAAACCAUCUAGUGUUGCUUCUGAAAUUAAAUUGAAAAGUGCAUGUUUAUUUGCCACCAAAUCUGAUAUUGAUGAGCUAGAUUUCAGCAAAUCUGUUUGCUAUGCUUCUGUGUGCAAAGAGGCAUUAUUUUCAUUCGAGGACGUGCCUUCCUCUUUGCCUCCUGCUGUCACUAACAUUUUGCAGGAGUUCGCUGACGUCUUUCCACAAGACGUGCCACCGGGAUUACCGCCUAUUCGAGGGAUUGAGCAUCAGAUUGACUUAAUUCCCGGUGCUUCACUGCCAAACCGUGCACCAUACCGUACCAAUCCAGAGGAGACGAAGGAGAUUAUGCGUCAAGUACAAGAGCUUCUCGACAAAGGUUAUAUACGCGAAUCCCUUAGUCCUUGUGCUGUUCCUAUUAUUCUAGUGCCGAAAAAGGAUGGUACAUCACGUAUGUGUGUUGAUUGUAGAGGCAUUAAUAAUAUUACUAUUCAUUAUCGUCAUCCUAUACCUAGGCUCGAUGAUAUGCUUGAUGAAUUGAGUGGCUCUACAAUAUUCUCCAAAGUUGAUUUGCGUAGUGGAUACCAUCAAAUUCGUAUGAAAUUGGGAGAUGAAUGGAAAACAACAUUUAAAACUAAGUUUGGAUUAUAUGAGUGGUUAGUCAUGCCUUUUGGGUUAACUAAUGCACCUAGUACUUUUAUGAGAUUAAUGAACGAAGUUUUACGUGCUUUCAUUGGACGAUUUGUGGUAGUUUACUUUGAUGACAUAUUGAUUUAUAGCAGAUCUUUGGAAGAACAUUUGGAACAUUUACGUGUUGUUUUUAUUGCUCUACGUGAUGCACGUUUGUUUGGUAACCUUGGGAAGUGCACCUUUUGCACCGACCGAGUAUCUUUUCUUGGCUAUGUUGUUACUCCACAGGGAAUUGAAGUUGAUAAAGCCAAGAUUGAAGCUAUUGAGAGUUGGCCGCAGCCCAAAACGGUCACACAAGUGAGGAGUUUUCUUGGCCUCGCUGGAUUCUAUAGGCGUUUUGUGAGAGAUUUCAGCACCAUUGCUGCACCUCUCAAUGAGCUUACAAAGAAAGAUGUGUCUUUUCUUUGGGGUACCGCACAGGAAGAAGCCUUCUCGGUAUUGAAAGAUAAGUUGGCACAUGCUCCUUUACUCCAACUUCCUGAUUUUAAUAAGACUUUUGAGCUUGAAUGUGAUGCUAGUGGAAUUGGAUUAGGAGGUGUGUUAUUACAAGAUGGCAAACCUGUUGCAUACUUUUCUGAAAAAUUGAGUGGGCCUAGCCUGAAUUAUUCUACUUAUGAUAAAGAAUUAUAUGCUCUUGUUCGGACUUUAGAAACAUGGCAACAUUAUUUAUGGCCCAAAGAAUUUGUUAUACAUUCUGAUCAUGAAUCUUUGAAACAUAUUAAAAGUCAAGCUAAACUGAAUCGUAGACAUGCUAAAUGGGUUGAAUUCAUUGAGACUUUCCCUUAUGUCAUUAAACACAAGAAGGGAAAAGAAAAUGUUAUUGCUGAUGCAUUGUCUCGUCGCUAUACUAUGCUUUCACAACUUGACUUCAAAAUAUUUUGUUUGGAGACCAUCAAAGAUCAAUAUGUGCAUGAUGCUGAUUUUAAAGAUGUAAUGCAGAAUUGUAAAGAAGGUAGAAUGUGGAACAAGUUCGUCGUUAACGAUGGAUUUGUGUUUCGUGCUAACAAGCUAUGCAUUCCAGCUAGCUCCGUUCGUCUUUUGUUGUUGCAGGAGGCGCAUGGAGGAGGAUUAAUGGGACACUUUGGCGUGAAAAGACGGAGGACAUACUUGCUACACAUUUCUUUUGGCCAAAGAUGAGACGGGAUGUUGAGCGUUUUAUUGCUCGAUGCACUACAUGUCAAAAAGCUAAGUCACGACUCAAUCCUCAUGGUUUAUAUAUGCCUUUGCCUGUACCUAGUGUUCCUUGGGAGGAUAUAUCUAUGGACUUUGUUUUAGGUUUACCUCGAACAAAGAAGGGGAGGGAUAGCAUAUUUGUUGUCGUGGAUAGAUUCUCGAAAAUGGCACACUUUAUACCAUGUCAUAAAAGCGAUGAUGCUGUUAAUGUUGCUGAUUUGUUCUUUCGUGAAAUUAUUCGCUUGCAUGGUGUGCCAAAUACUAUUGUUUCAGAUCGUGAUACUAAAUUUCUUAGCCACUUUUGGAGAUGUUUAUGGGCUAAGUUGGGGACUAAACUGCUUUUUAGUACUACUUGUCACACCCAAACUGAUGGACAAACUGAAGUAGUCAAUAGAACGUUGUCUACUAUGCUUAGGGCUGUUUUGAAGAAUAAUAAGAAAAUGUGGGAGGAAUGCUUGCCUCAUAUUGAAUUUGCUUAUAAUCGUUCAUUGCAUUCUACUACUAAGAUGUGCCCUUUUGAAGUUGUGUAUGGUUUCCUACCUCGUGCACCUAUUGAUUUGUUGCCUCUUCCAUCUUCGGAGAAGGUUAAUUUUGAUGCUAAACAACGUGCUGAAUUGAUUUUAAAAAUGCACGAGUUAACUAAGGAAAACAUUGAGCGUAUGAAUGCUAAAUAUAAACUUGCUGGAGAUAAGGGUAGAAAACAUGUUGUGUUUGCACCUGGAGAUCUUGUUUGGUUACAUUUGCGUAAGGAUAGAUUUCCUGAUUUGCGCAAAUCAAAGCUAAUGCCACGUGCUGAUGGUCCCUUUAAGGUGUUAGAGAAAAUAAAUGAUAAUGCAUAUAAACUUGAGCUGCCUGCAGAUUUUGGGGUUAGUCCCACUUUUAACAUUGCAGAUUUGAAGCCUUAUUUGGGUGAGGAAGAUGAGCUUCCGUCGAGGACAACUUCAUUUCAAGAAGGGGAGGAUGAUGAGGACAUCAAUACCAUUGUUACACCCAUAGCCCCUACUGCUACAUAUACGGGACCAAUUACUAAGCUCGCGCACGCCAAUUAAAUUAUCAGGUACUUUCGUUUCUUGGUAAUGAUUCUAAUGUUCAUGAGAAUAUGAUGCUGCCUAAAUUGGAUACAUUUGUUUUGCUUACAAAUGAAGGGCCUAGCUUGGAGAAGGAUGAACAUUGGAGCAAGAACAAGCAUGGAGAUGAUGCUAUGCGCAAGGGGAACAAGAACGGAGUUACAAGUGAUGAUUUUAGGACUUUGAAGCCACCAUAAUGGGUGCAUGAAGCCUUGGACGAAAUAUACAAGAUGCCACUUCAUAAAUUUCGUCCCGAGGCUAUUAUAGGUGCUGCGUCACCUUUUUAUUGGGCCAGGCCCAUGUAAUUUCGAAAUACAUAAGUAUAGGCUAUUUUUAGAGUCCGUAUGUGUGGGGAAACCAGAGAUAGGGUUGAUUUCGGACCCCUCCACCAAGGGCCACGAAAUUCCCCCUCUCUUCCUCCAUAUAUACAGCCCUUAGGGCACCGUUUAGACUUUGGGUUUUGUUUAGAUUAAAGUUCGCCAUAGCUGCAACUUCGCGUACUUCGUUUGUGUUCAACGACCACACAAAGGCGUCACAGAACCCCACCUUGAUCAAUAAAGCUUUCAUCUUAUAUUCGCAAUAUCCAGAUUGCAAUCUUAGUUUCUUGCUUGUUCUUCGUUUGCUCGCAGGAAACAGACCCUCGUGGUCAGGUUGAUCGUGCUCUGGCGUGGUCAAUAACCUCUCGGAGUUGGUUUAGCGAUUGCUAAGGCGCGACGUCCUCGCACGUUCGUAGUCGGAUCGUCAAAGUCGACUUCCACCAAAGCGAUAUCCAUCAUCUCAUCGAAAGACGGGACACCUUUGCCUCUAUCAGUCCGGGUCAACAGGCCAGCUUCAUAAUCAAUUUGCCGACGUUGGUUUGUCACAGAGAAAUAUUGUGAAGAAUAACUCCUUUGACUCAGCUCCCAAAACGCCGGUUUAAGAAAUAUGGGUCUUGAAAUACUUAUCUGGUAUUCAGCUGGUUUGAAGAUGUAAAACUUGCCAGUUUAAUAUUACCAAAAUGGCCGGUUUAUAAAUAUUGAUGGCACCGGGUCAUAAUUGUUGUCGACACCGGGUCAUGUAAUUGAUCUUCCUGAUUUGCUCAAAACUGAUAAAAUGAAGAUGUUCCUCCUUUAUACGCAUAAUACCUGUAGCCCCCAAGUCUUAAGGGGAGAACAUAGUGAUAACUUAAGACUUGCUCCAAUAAGUGUUUCAACCUUGAAGAAAUCCGGUUUGUUCAUCUCAAUUAUAUAAACUGAAUACUCCAUAUAUGUAGCCCCCAAGUGUCAUGUUGUCAUGCUUGCAGCAACCUGUGACUUGUAAUUGCUUAUAAAAACUUCAAUCAGUGUAGCCCCCAAGGGCCGGCUCAUUAUAAUAUGAUGAGUCGGGUCUUCAAUAAGACUAAAAAUGACUUGCAUUAGCCCCCAAGUGUCAUGAUGCAUGCUUGCAGCGACAUGAGACUUGCAUGUAAUCUCGAUUUGAAUAAUGCAGCCCCCAAGUGCCGGGUUGUAAGCCUGCAGCGACUCGGGACUAUUCCUUCAAUUGUAGAAUAAAUCAUAUCUAUUGAUAAUAUGAUAGCCAUUGCGCUAAAGCAACUUUGAAAACCUCAAUCAUUCAAUAUUAUCAUUGAAAAUCCAGCCAAACUUGGCUAUUUGAAUAAUAUAACCCAAUGAUUUAUAAGCGCAUGAUUCCAAUGGCGUAAUCCAAAUAUAUAUAUACUGGCGACUUAUAGUCCAAAGCCAGGCCGGUUUAACAAACCUGCUUCUGCAUACAACAAGUUUAAAGUGUCCUGGCGGUUUACCACCGGACAUGUCAUAAUUCCCAACAUAUAACCCGGGUUGAUAACCAAGGCUGCACUAAAGAAUAAUCAAAUAUGAAAUAUAUCAUACUUGUGACAUUGAAUCACAUUGUUGGUUUUACCAACUUUUUGUAGUAAGAGUGAUAACCACAAUCUUUGAGUAAUGAUAACUCCUUUCAUAUUGUACUGGGUUGUGAUAAACACCGUGUUACUCCAUAAGAGGAUGUUAAAAACAAGGAUCAAACCGGGCAAAUAGUCUCCGGAUUGACGUGAACUGUGUUCCGUCAAUUGAUUGGUUGAAAACUUUGUCGGUUUAGAAAGAACGCAAUAAAAAAGGAAAAAGUAUCUCGCAAAGAAAAGUGCGAAGCAAAAGCAAUGAGAAAACCGUUUGCAAAAAAUGUUUAUUUGAGCUGAUCAAAUGGUGUUACCAUGGCCGAACACGACCAAGCUCCCGUUAGGUGUAACUAUGGUUCUAGUCAGCCAGGUCCCCAAAUGAAACCGUGGCAUUUAUGCCGACCAAGUGUCAUGGCGAUGGUUCGGGUUCGACCAAGCCCCCAAGUGAUUCUGUGGCCUUAGACCGAUCAAGAGGCAUGAGUGGUUCAGACGUGACCAAGUCCCCAAGUGAUCUGGUGGCUCUCGCCUAUCAAGAGGUAUUGUAUUGGUUCGGACACGACCAAUCCUCCAAGUGAUAUAACACGAUGCUUUUAGAAAAGCGAACUCAAGGGGUAAACCGGAAGCCGCUUUAGAACAACUCCGUGUAACCACACAUGAUGUAAAAGAACAGAGACCCCGCUUUAUGAAGCAGAAGCCCCCAUGUGAUCAAUAAUAUGUCAGGCCAGUAAGGCGGGAUACCCAUGUUUGAAACGCACAUCAUGGCAGUAAGUCCUCUUCGGCAACUUUUAACUUUUUUGCAAGAGAUAAAUUCUUCUUGAACUAGGAUCUUGAACCGGAUAUUGAGAGCUUCAAAGCUUUGUGGAAGACAUCUUUCCCUUAAACCGGAUUUUAAACCGGAAUCUUCAUUUUCAGCCGGAAAAUUUUCUGACGACCUUUAAACUCGAGUUUGCGAGAAGUUAAUUCCUUUUUGAACCGGACAUUGCUAAACCAGAUUUGAGCGCUUCAGAGCUUUGUGGGAGAACAGAUUUCCCUUGAACUGGACUGUAAACCGGAUAUUUGAGAGCUUCAGUCAGACUGACUUCCCUUGAGCCGGAUUUUAAACCGAAAUCCUUUCUGAUGACUCGGAUCUUCUUCAUUGAACCAGGAUUUUGUAACUGUCAUAUACUUUCUAAACCGGAAAUUUUCUGACGGCCUUUAAACUUUCAUCAAUAUAACAGUAGCCUCCGGGACCGGGUUAUCCUUUCCUCCAUCGUCCUGGGUUCUUAAAUUUGCUAAAACUAACAAGAUUCGCUGAGUCAUGUCAUCGUAGCCCCCGAGUUUCAAAGGUGACUCGAGGAGUUGGCUUGAGACUCUCCAUAUUUGACCGUGAUAUAAACCGGCGUAACUUGUAUAUCAUUGGCGUUGAUAGCACGAUGUGAAUCCAUAGAUGGUUGAGGUGACUGCGGCGGGUUGUAAAUGAUCCCAUAUGAGUCGUGUUAGUAACUCGGCCAAUGGUUUCUUGCAACUGGCUGUUUGAAGUUAACCAAACUAUAGUGGCGGCGACUUGUGCGCUUGCCCAUUGAGCCACCCGGUGCAGACGGUGGUUGAUAGUAUAUGAUAAUUUGCCUCCAUUUUGUUUGAAAGAAAACCGGGCUACCCAAGCAGUGACUGGCUUUAUACUCAAUAAAUAGCUCAUGCAGAUAGGUGCGACCUGGCGUGUUGAUGUAGACCAAGCCGCGAGAGGCGGACGGAAAAUACGACCGCGGCAUCAGAGACGGCACAGACAGAUGAGUCGGUCGCGGCGUUGUAAACCGGUUCGGACGGGCGAGUUAAUUCACAGGGAUGGUCCCGGUGAGUUGAAGUAGUUCGUGCCGCAAGGGCGGCAACUUGCGCGCGUCCAUUUAUCGGGUAAUGAGGCAUGGACGAAUACCGGGUGCAAUGCUGCCAGUAUGUACUCUAUAUCCGUGGUAUAAACCACAUUCAUAUUGAAUAAUUGUCCAGCGUACAAAAAAUAUAGCAGGGCAGAGUAGCUGUUUGUCGAAGGAAAUCAACAUGUACUUAACAAAAUAUGUAAGAUAAAUAUCACCUGAUUUUUAGGCGACAGAUGAUCAUUAUAUGGCGUCGUAGAUAACCAAGAAUUUUUGUGCUGAUCCUUUCAAGGGCCUUGCCAGAGUUCGUCGUAGUUUGUAUAAUCUUCACUUCAAGAAAUUGGGGCAUAUUUAUCCUCGGUAACGCCUCAUAUAUCCUUCCGUUGGCUUUCUAGUCCUCUAGCUUCCACGGGAUGAGUAGGAGCGCUAAUUGGAAGUUUUUGAUUAUUGGGUUGGCUUCGGCCUUCACGUAUACUGUAGAUAACCUUUUGUAGGAGCAGUAGUGGAUGUCUGCUGGCUUUGCUGAUUCGCUGUACUGCUUUGAAGCAGUGCUUUGAAGCGGGGUUUUAGUGCUUUCAAUCAGGCGCUCAAAGGCAAGGCUGCUCAGCAGCGAAGUCACACACGAGCUGUGACAGACAGACUGGUACGAGGCUGGUGAGGUGACGGAGGCGAGACCGCUCGACGGUGACCCAGGCGCUCAGCAACUACCCCAUCCGGCGAGUCAGCAGGGUGGUUUCAAAGCGCCCGACGAGUCAGCGGCCGGCGGGUUAGCGGAGGUAGCAACCGAGUCCUGAUGCAGUUAUAAAGGUGACUGAGGAGGCUCUUGGUGAAAAGAGACAGCGGCUCGGCGGAGGCAGCGGCAACUUGAAGCAGAGGCAGCACGAGGCCGACACACUGGUGAAGGCAGCUCGAUUCAACGGGGACGGGUUGCCCAGCCUGCUCAAGGCGCGGUGGCAGUGGCGACUUUGAUGACGGCCGCACCAGCGAAGAUGAGGAUAUGACGGUUUGACAAUGCGUCGGCGGCGAAGAGGACUAGCAAGGGGGAGGCGACCCGGCAACAUAGAGAUCGAGCCGAUUUACUGAGGCGACUGUGAUUUGAAGGUUUCAGUGAACCGGAGCAAGGCGUGGACGCUCCGGCGAGCCGUUUGAAGUGCGUCCGCCACAGCGGCGGGUUGGAGAGGCGUGGCCGAACCGGCGACGAGUUGGAGAGGCGCGGCCGCCGGUCAUUGAUGGCGAUUCAAAGGAGGCGAGGCACGGCUGAACCGGUGAUGGUUUGGCGCAGGCACAGUCGGAAGCAGCUCAGUACUGCUGUUGUUGAAGCAGAGGCUGGCGAGCGGCUCACGGCGCGAAGCAGCUCAGGCUUGAGGCGAGCGAUGGCGGCUCACGGGUCUGGCGGGUUACGGCCGCGGUUGACAAGGUAGGGCGCCGGGCCAGGGGCGGCAAAGGCGUCCGCAUGCCAUGGCCAAGUCCUCCUCCGAAUUGUGGAGGUUUAACCAAUCCUGUUCGGGUCCUUCUCCAGGCCAUGAUUGUGCUGACGAUGCCGUGAGGCAGAGGCGGUUUGAGGACGGGCGGCUUGGAACGAUAGUAGAAAACAGAUCAGCCGGUCCGUCGGGGCGAGUUUGGCAGAGGCAGCAGCUUGGCGGUGGAUUGACGGGGCGGCACGGAGGCGGAGCGUCGAGGCGACAUCAGCCACAGAGGCGCCGGCGGCAGGGCCACGAAGAUCGUCGGCCGACGGUGGCUGCCUGAGGCGGCGGAAUGAGUCGCAGGCGUGGCUGUCAAGGAGUCUGAAUCCAAUCCACUUCUGGGUCCACCUCCCGAUUACUGCUAGUUUAGCUCUCCACGUCUGUCUCUUUCAGGCCGUGGCUUCCCAUGUUUUUUUGGGGUCAAACUUGAUGCUUGACGUGAUGGGGAAAAGUAGCACUUGAACUUCGAUUUGAUGCUUAAUACAAGUAGUACUAGUUACUGCACCAAGAGUUGAUCUUGUAGACAGCAAAAAACAACAUACAUAACUCAGCAGAUCAGACACGAGCGGUUGUGUCCGGCGUAACUUAUGCCUUUGGCCAUUAGCGAUGACCAAGCAGAUCAAAUACGUUUUAACUUUGGUUACGGCGACUUGUGCUUCUGGUCGGAAUAGAUGUCACCACUUCUGAUCCGGAUACGAGCGGCGGGUUUGGAUCGAAUCUCAAUCUUGCCCGACCGCCUGUUGAUUCAGAUUAUUCCAGACCGGCCUCUCUUCAUCUGAAAAAUUUCGGACUUCUCAAUCCCUUGAAGAAUCCCUUCAAGACCUUAACAUCACCAUGCGCAGGCCCCAAGGUGGGUGCCAACUGUCGUGGGAUUGUCACGGCAGAUGUCCUUAGUGUCAGGACUUAGUCGCGAGGCCAACGCAUCUAUGUGGUAGCUUGAGAGGGGUUGAGCGGGACGAGAGACGCGAGGUUUUACCCAGGUUCGGCCCCUCACGGUGGAGGUAAAAGCCUACAUCUUGCUUCAUUGAUAUUGAUGAUGAUGAUCACGGUUACAAGAGUGCUCAUCUCGAGAGCUAUUGUCUAAACCUAACUUGUCCAACUUGUGGAACUUGUGAAUCUUGUCCCCUUUUGGAGAGCCCCGCCCGUCCUUAUAUAUGUUGGAGGGGCGGGUUACAUGUAGAGUCCUAUUAGGAUUAGGACUAAUCUAUCUCUAAUACAAACCGGAUACAAGUCCAGGUCUUAACUCCUUGUAAGAUAAACGUUCCUCAUGCCUUUCCUCUUAAACCGGCCCACCAUUAAACGUGAACCGGCCUUCUGGGCCUUGGGCCUUGUCAUCUGUCUGUCCCGCACGCCGGAUCACCAGUGAGUCAUAAGACCAGGUGGGUUGCUUGUAAACCGCCAGGUCAGGGCGGGUCGCCAGUAACUCGCCAAGUGUCAGCGGGGUCUUCAGAUAAACCGCCAAGUCCGGUCGGGUUAACUUCCGGCUGGUUUACACCGCGGGUUAUAUCCCCGACAGUGAGGGCGAGCGAGAGGGAGAGGGCGUUGUAGUCAAAACCCUCUCCUUGUUCUAUGAGCCACCACACGCGUGGGCGAGGGAGAGGCAUAGUAAGCAAGCUUCUCCUCGUUCGGCGAGUUGACGGGACACAUCAAAGCAGUACAAGUACUAGUCCUUUCCAGUUAAAUAUGGCUUAAUUUGAAACGAGAAAAAUACACUAGCGGUCAAUGUAUGUAACAAUACGCUCUUUCGGUCGCUAUAUAUAGUUUUGCGGUGAUUAUAGGAUCACUAGCUCAUCGUAGAGCAACGUAUUGCACCCUACUGACCAGCCACAUAGUCGACGUGGCACUUUUUUGACUGGUUAAUUUGUCACCUUGUUUCUGGGUCCCACCUGUCAGUUGGCAGAGCAAAGAAAUCAGUUGAGUAAAACUUUACGCAGGAGUGAUAGGAGUCCAACCCUUGCACGCGAACCACCCUAGCUGUGUAUGAGAGUGCAUGCACGUGUACUCCCUCGGUCUUCCAACAAAGAGUGUACAUCUACACUUCCAAUGCAUUUAGCCUUUAAUCUAAAAUCAAUAUUGAUUGACUAAUGCACCAACUUGUGCUCUAGCUAGAGGCUACAUGUCUAUCCUUAAUUACAGCAUGCAACAACCUUCAUUUAAUCUUCUUCUCCCAAUGGUCGCAUGCACACAUAAAUCUGCUACUUUUGGGCGUUAAUUAUUCCAUGGUCAAUGUGUAAAUCUCUAAAUGUACAGUCUUUCACGGACGUAGGGAGUAGGUUGAGCACUUGAGCGUGAGUGUGUGCGUUGUGUCGCGUGCUGUGUGCCGCAUGGCUGCAUGAGUGUUGUGCGCGUCCAUCUGUACGUGUGAGUGUUGCAUGUUGCAUGCAUGCAGGCAUGCAUGAGGCUUUUACUGCCUCCCAUUGACAUGUUCAUAUUUCAAGCUUCCUCUGUUCCCUCCAUAUUGUGAUACUCCCUCUGUUCCCUAAUAUGGAGUAAAAGCCUCCCUCUAUUCCCGCGGAGUAUUUGUCUCUCUAGAGAUUUCAACAAGUGACUACGUACGGAGCAGAAUGAGUGAACCUACACUCUAAAAUAUGUCUACAUACAUCUGUAUGUUGUAUUCCAUUUGAAUGUCUAAAAAGACAAUAUUUAAUGAUUUUGUAACUAAAGUUCUUCAUGCAUUGGUGGGAUUCUUCCAUUGAAGUAUUUUGUCUAGUUUCUCGCGCUUAGUACUGGGGUCACCACACUUAUCUCUCCUCUUAAUUAUCUUGCCACAUCAGACUUUUUGCCUACGUGGUAGCCUUAGCACAUGUACAAGGCAGAGCAUUAGGAGGGGCAUGAGCAUACAGGCAUAGGGAUACUUUAGAUGGGAACUCUUCGCGAUCCAUUAUUCCCCAUCUGGGACAGAGAGAACUAUUCAACUAGUCUUCAUAGUGAAGUGACAAUACACGCUGCAGCAGAUGGGACACUUGAUUAAUAAGCUGAACCAGCGUGUUGGUGUUACUAAAUCAGCCUUACCUAGUACUGCCAUCAUGUUUUCCAGUGGAGCACGCUUCCACAAAUAUGACCAUGCACCUCUCUCCUUCAUUAACUAACAUGUCAUCAGCCCACAUGUCAUCGACGUAACUAUUUACACUCAACAUUUCUGUCUGAUGCUAUAGUGCACGAUGGCAUCGUUUAUGCGGUCGACGCACAGAUUGGCUGCCUAUACUGGUGGAAUCUAUCAUCGUGUAAUUGUCCUAUCUCAUCUCAUCUUUACCUUAAGAAUACAACUGCAUAUUCAUUGUUACAAAUUUAGAAUAUAUAGUAUGUCUAUAACCACAUCAUUGCUAUAUGUUCCUCUCAUUUCCUAGAUUUUUAUGACCACACAUGUUAUUGUUAGAGUUGAUAUGAGAACAAUUGGUAUCUAAUGAUUGUUAGAAUAGAUAUUAUGAGUAUAACCUCAUGAUUGCUAUAUGUUACUCUCAUUUCCAGGGUUUCUAUAACAACACAUGUUAUUGCUUAGAGUUGAUAUGAUAACUGUAGUAAGUGUUAUGGUAGAAUAUGAGUAGGCCCUGUCAUAUCUGUUUUCCUCUCAUUGUUACAUAAUGUUUGAACCAUGAUAUAUUGCUAGACUAGCAAUGUGCCCGUGCGUUGCAACGGAUCCAAAAAACAAUAAUACAUGUUCACAAAUUUGAAACAAAAACACUAUAGUUUGGUGUAUAUAUCACUAAAAAUAUACUCGUAUUAGGUUUCACUCAAAAUAUAUUUCUUGUGGCUGUUUUGAUGAGGUGGGGGAGGGAUGUGUUUGGUUUCAAGAUAAUAAGGGGUUUAUGCAAAUUGGAGCAGAUGAGUGGGGUCUUGUUGCAAAAAUGCCACGACUUACAUCAUAGUCCUUAGAUGCAGAUCUGAUGGUCAGAAAUGAUGGAUGGCAGACAAACCAUCAUCACCAAGUAAGUCUUUUAUAGGAGUAGAGAAUAUGAAAGCCAUUGGCUUAUUUUUUUUAACUUCGGGUCUAAUUAUGACCACGACAUUGCAAUUCUCUGUCUAUGAUGUGUCACUUUUAUAAUAAUCUUAAUUCCACACAUACUCUGAACAUGAUUGUUUAUUUUUGUCCUUUUGGUCUCCAAUUUGAAUUGUUGCAGUAGACGCAAAUGUGCUGGCCUUCAUGAUUCCAGGACCUAGAAUCAUACCAGCCGAUGGGUGGUGGUUUAUCACUCGUUUAGCUGACGGCGGUCAUUUGAUGCUCAUUUUCACGUACCAAAUUGACCAAACCAUUUCAUCAAACCACAUGCAGUACACUGCCUGGAGCAUUCGUGACAUUGAUGGCUAUGACUGCUUCGUGUUUGAGAAAGAUCCCAGCUCCGUUGGGCCAGGCGUAUUCAACUAGAGGCGGGUUUACAGCCUCAGCAACCACUCCAUGUUCCUCGGACUCAAUUAUCCGAUCAUCCAAUCAAUCAUCGAUCAUAUCAUCGGCGAUGAUUAACGUUCUAUGCAACUUCCAUUUGCCAGGGGGAAUUGUGUUUACACAUCAUACCAUGGGUUUCAUUAAUCACCAUAUCCAGAGAUUCGUCGACACAACUUGUUGCCAGAUAAUCUUCAGUGUGUGAAAGGCAUCAAGCUUCCAUGCGAUGGAUGGCUUUUGUAAACCCAACAUGCUGUGAUGUGGUUCAUGCCAAUAGCAAAUAUGCACAAUUUGAUUCGUACUGAUAUCUAGAUUGAGCCAUGUAUCCUGCUGCUGUAGCAUGACCCUCUUUUGUUGGAUAUUAUGUACUAUUGUUAGUUUGAAUCACUCCUCUGGUUUGAAGGAUAGAUACCUUUCUGGGAUCAAGUGCAUCCUAACUCACCUACGUAGGAUGUAUAUAUAUAUAUAUAUAUAUAUAUAUAUAUAUAUAUAUAUAUAUAUAUAUAUAUAUAUAUAUAUAUAUAUAUAUAUAUAGACUUCAAGUGUGUACUUGUUGGUGAAAGUGUUGUCCAAUGGGAAUUAUAUUUUGUAUUACUCAUGUAGGCUACAAAGUCUGUCGCACAGCCUUGUAACUUCUUACCCCAUUUCUAAAUUUGUACUAGUCCUCUAUACUGUAUAUUGCGUUAAUCAUACUACUAGCUCCCUCCUGGUUUACUGGUCCCCUUUGUAAUUUGUGUCAAAUUUUGACCAUAAAUUUCACUAACUAAAUAUUAAUGCAUGUCACAAAAAAUUAUAUCAUUUUAUUUGUAUUUGAACAUAGUUUCCAAUGGAAUAAUUUUCGUUGACAUGCAUUGACAUUUUGUUAGUUAAACCUAUGGCUAAAAUGUGACACUAAAUACGACUAGUAAGUAGUACAGUAGCAGUACUAGUACACGCUGGUCAAAUUAUACAUCAUGUCCUCACAUUGAAUUGACGUGACAACAUGUUGCGCGUGAGGUGACACAAGAAUGUCGGCGGCGUGUUUGCGUAUUGUGGACUUCAGAUGUGGAGUACUACCACUUAUCUGUCGAAAUCUUUCAUCAUUCACUUAAAACAGUCGAUUUGAUCAUACAUUGAGUACCAUAUAACUAGAAUUAACCAAUGCAACUCCAAGAAGGAUUGGCCAGUGCUGCCGGCUGGCGUCAAGUUCGAUCCCACGGAUCAGGAGCAAAUCGAGCACCUUGAGGCCAAAGUGAGUGCUGACAGCGCGAGAUCUCACCCUCUAAUCGAUUCGUUCAUACCAACCGAGCAUGGCAUAUGCUACACCCAUCCUGAGAAACUUCUAGGUAAGACACCGAUUGGCCGUCUACUUGCACAAACAAAUUCCUUUGUUUAUAGCUCUAUUUUUCUUUUUAGACGCAGACCUAGUGAAGCAAUUACAAUUUGUAGCGACCAGACCUCAAACAGUCUGAUCUCUGUGCUCCGAUGUCAUCCCUGGAUCAGUAAUGCUGACACCACACAGUACUCGGAGGAUUUAUAGCAGAGUAGCAAUCACACACUUAUUACAUCGAGUGUCUCAUAAGAAAGCUUAUUACAAUAAAUAUGGCUUAAGGCCAUCUAAUAACGAUAACAGCGGAAGGCUUGGAAGAUAAGUGAGUCCAUCAACUCCAACGGCAUCACUCACUAUAGGACCACGACCUAAAAACUCCUUAAUCGUCGUCUGAAAAGUCUGCAACAUUAACGUUGCAGCUCGAAAAUGGGUCAGCACAUGGAAUAUGCUGGCAAGGUAACACAUAGAGAGUAAUGGAAUGAAACAGCUAUACUGUAUGCAUAUUUGGCUGGUGGAAAAGCUCUAUGGUUAUAAGUUUUUGCGAAAAGCCAGUUUUUCCCUACUACAAAGGCAUAAAAUUUAUUUAACUAUCAUGGUAGUUGUUAAACAUUGAGAAUGGUUGACAGCAUUCUCAAUCCCAAUUAAGCAUCAACAUUAAACAUAACCCAACAAAAUUAAUUUAGAGUAACAUGUUGAGAUUCACAUGAUAAUCCAGGUACUAGAUACUCAAGAUGUCCAUAACCGGGGACACGGCUAAUCAUGAUUAGUUUGUUACACUCUUCAAAGGUUUGCGCACUUUUCCCCACAAGACUCGAUCGCCUCCGUUUGGUUUCUCGCACCACAUGGUGUUUGAGAAGAUGGAUGAUCGAGACAUAGUCUUUCAGAAGCGCUAGCACCUUACGAUCGGGUAGACCGUACCACCUACAUCCCCUACAUCUGCUAGUCUACCACUGUAAGAGUUCGCACAACUUAGUCAACUAUGCUAGAGCCCAUACUAGCUUGUGGCUGCACACGGAAGUUUCUAGUAUGAAUAGUCUUAUGAUCCCUUUGAGCCUGGGUGGCGGUCAAAAAUAAAACAGGCAAGUCCUGGAAUACCCAGUUGCCUCAAUCCACCCAGAUGUGUGUUUAAGUUGCCACCUUAGAUAAACCAUUAAUUAACAAAACUCACAUCUGUCAUAGAUAUCACUCACCCAAUCCACGUCUACUAGCAUAGCAUGGCAUAAUAAGCAAACACGGAAGUAACUCCCAAAGGUUUGAUAAUAAACAGGUAAUAGGUACUACCUCAACUACUUCCCAUCCCACAAUUUAAUUAGAUCCUAAUCAUGCAAUGUGUGAGGAUUGAUCUAAUGCAAUAAAACUGGGUAGUAGAAAAAGGUAUGAUCAAAGUGUUACUUGCCUUGCUGAUGAUCCGGGAAACCUAGCGAUUCGAAGUAACAAGCGGCGCACUCCGGAUACUCUAUCGCAAACAAACAAACGAGCAAGCAAUAAGUACUCAUCUAAUGCACAGGUAAAACUCAAAUAAGAGAUAUAACCAAAAGGUUCAACUUAAGAACUCCGGUUGGCAAAAAGAACUUGGGCGAAUAUAUCCCUUAUCCAGUAACUCCUUAAUCUGCUUCUUAAUUUCCACCAAAUCCUUUGCUGGAAUCCUAUAUGGUCUCUUUGAUAUUGGCCCUAUGCCUGGCAAUAGCUCAAUCAAAAACUCGAUAUCUCUAUCCGGUGGCAUGCGUGGCAACUCUUCUGGAAAUACAUCAGGGAAAUCUCUUACCACUGGUACUUCCUCCUGCACAACUCCUGUUAGGCAAUUUACUUGGGUCCUCUUUGGCACAUGCCGGGAUACAUACUUGAUCCUUCUCCCUUCUGGGGUGGUAAGCAAAAUUGACUUACUAGCACAUUCAAUAUUCCCUUCAUACUUUGAUAACCAAUCCAUGCCUAAUAUCACAUCCAAUCCUUAAGAUUCCAAUACUAUUAGGUCUGACGGAAAAACAUAGUUACCAAUCCUUAAUGGUAACCGAUCACACCAUAGAAUAGCCACAUACUCUGCUCCAGGCGAGGUUACUAACAUGGGUGACCUAAGGGCUUGGGUUGAUAGGUUGUAUUUAUCCACAAAUCCCUUUGAGAUGUAUGAAUGUGAUGCACCAGUAUCAAAAAGAACGAGUGCAGUAAAUGACUUAACCAAAAACUUACCUAUUACUGCAUCUGGCUGAGCUUCAACCUCCUCCACACUAACGUGGUUCACCUGUCCCCUAUUGAAAGGGUUCGGCUUCUUCCCAGAACUUCCAUUGCCAUUUUGGCCUUCAGGACAUUCAUUGGCAUAGUGUCCGGUCUUCGAACACUUAUAGUAGGUGACUUGGUUCAAGUCCUUCUUCGCUGGGGUUGAGGGGUUGGUGCGGUUCUGGCCGUUGCUUCCUCCAUUGCCAUUACCAUUCUUGGUGCCAUUGUGAUUGUGCGAGCUACCUCCUCCAUGGGUAUGCUGAAAAUGUCCUCCAGGUCUAGUGGUAAAACGUGGCUUCUGCUGAGCUCCUGAAUUGUACUUUCCUUGUCCAUAUUUCCUCUUGCGAUUCUCAAUUUGCUGCUGCUUCCCUUCAAUCAUAAGAGCACGAUCUACCAACUCCUGGUAGUUGUUGAAGGUGGCUACCAUCAACUGCAUGCUCAACUCAUCAUUCAGUCCUUCCAGAAACUUCUCCUGCUUAGCUGCAUCCGUAGUGACGUCAUCUGAGGCAUAAUGUGCUAACUUACUAAAUUCCUCCACAUGCUGGCCAACUGUCCGUCCUCCUUGGCGCAAGUUACGAAACUCACACUUCUUCAUGGCCAUAGCUCCUGCUGAAACAUGGGCAGUACAGAAAGCCUGCUGAAACUGGUCCCAUGUGACAGUGUCGACUGGGAAGGUGGCUGUGAAAUUCUCCCACCAUGAUGCUGCGGGUCCUUCUAGCUGAUGUGCGGCAACUUCACCUUCUCCGCAUCUGUGCAUCCUGCUGUGGUCAACUCCCUAGCUGUCUUGCGGAGCCAAUCAUCUGCUACUAUCGGCUCGGUGCUACUGGAAAACACCGGCGGAUUCAGCCUAAGAAAACGGGCUAAGUGGUCAACAGGUGGUGGUGGUGGUGGUGGGUUGUUGUUAUUGUUCCCCUGAUUCUGAUUCUGGACUAGCAACUGCAUCAAUGUGUUCUGCUGCUGGAUCAACUGGGUGAGCUCCGGUGGGAAGGCAAAUCCGGGGUCACGUCUCGGAGGCAUCUGUGGGUUUAGAAAAGAUGAGAUAUAAGAAUAGAGAGGGUCUAAAGAGAAAACACUACCCAUAUGCACAUGAGGCAAAAGCAAACAAUUCACUUCAAUCAAUCAAACAAAGGCAUACAAUCGCAAAAGUGCUCGGACUACUAUAUUUACAUGGUGGACUACUACUACUGAUGAGGUGGUCUACUAGAAAUAUUCUUCGGUUGCAGACUCCAUGAUAUCUGCUCCAGCUUCAUCAACAUAGUCAUCGUCGCUACUAUCUGCUUCCGAGUCGGUGCCGUCGAUGAUGAUGUAGUCUUCCGGGCUAAUUUCCUGGGGUUCUUCGUCUCCAUCUACUAGCGUAGGGCCUCCCAUAAAUAUUCCAAUCUUCUUGACCAGGUCGUCAUUAUUCUCCACCAAUACUUCAAUUUCUUCUUCAUAAUCUUCACGUGUAGCCUUGAGUUCUUCCUCCAGUUCCUUGAUUCUUGUCUUAGCCUUCUUCAGAUCUAUCAUGUCGGCGCACAUCUGGUUCUCCUAUCGUCGAAUGUGCUGGUUUAGCUCCUGGAUAAAAGCUGCGAUUGAUCUAUCAUUCCUGGUGCUGAUCAUCUCCCAGUGCUCAUCUCGGCGCCCACAAAUCUGGUAGAUAGUAUCUUUGAGAUCCUUGCUGAUAGAGGCAAAGGUGUCCCGUCUUUCGAUGAGAUGAUGGAUAUCGCUUUGGUGGCAGUCGACUUUGACGAUCCGACUACGAACGUGCGAGGACGUCGCGCCUUAGCAAUCUCUAAACCAACUCCGAGAGGUUAUUGACCACGCCGGAGCAGGAUCAACCUGACCACGAGGGUCUGUUUCCUGCGAGCAAACGAAGAACAAGCAAGAAACUGAGAUUGCAAUCUGGAUAUUGUGAAUAUAAGAUGAAAGCUUUAUUGAUCAAGGUGGGGUUCUGUGACGCCUUUGUGUGGUCGUUGAACACAAACGAAGUACGCGAAGUUGCAACUAUGGCGAACUUUUAAUCUAAACAAAACCCGAAGUCUAAACGAUGCCCUAAGGGCUGUAUAUAUGGAGGAAGAGGGGGGGAAUUUCGUGGCCCUUGGUGGAGGGGUCCGAAAUCAACCCUAUCUCUUGUUUCCCCACACAUACGUACUCUAAAAAUAGCCUAUACUUAUGUAUUUCGAAAUUACAUGGGCCUGGCCCAAUAAUAAGGUGACGCAGCACCUAAAAUAGCCUGGGGACGAAAUUUAUGAAGUGGCAUCUUGUAUAUUUCGUCCAAGCCUUCAUGCACCCAUUAUGGUGGCUUCAAAGUCCUGAAAUCAUCACUUGUAACUCUGUUCUUGUUCCCCUUGCGCAUGCCAUCAUCUCCAUGAUUGUUCUUGCUCCAAUGUUCAUCCUUCUCCAAGCUAGGCCCUUCAUUUGUAAGCAAAAUAAAUGUAUCCAAUUUAGGCAGCAUCAUAUUCUCAUGAACAUUAGAAUCAUUACCAAGAAACGAAAGUACCUGGUAAUUUAGUUGGCGUGCACGAGCUCUAGUAAUUGGUCCAGUAUGUAUAGCAGCAGGGGCUGUGGGUGUAACAAUUGUAUUGAUGUCCUCAUCACGUGCGGUAGACUUCUCCAAUGCGUCCCAUGGCGAUGUGAGCUGCCAUGCUUUUUCCUAGACUCUAAGUUGGUGCAUCAAAAGAAAACUCGAUGGGCUCAGUGACUGGCAUGAACGUCCUUCCUGGAACUUGAACUUGAAUCAUCCAGCGCUCUUUUUCAGGUAAAGUGGCGUUGUAGGUUCCCGUGAAGCUUGGUACUCCUAUGUUUAGGUAUCUACUGACUUCCUUCAAGUGACGUCCAAAGGGUGUAUCUUCAUCCCAUUGUGUGAACUUGUUCCUUGCAUCUGCCAUCCUAAAGAGUAGAAAAGAUGAGGAGUCAGAGAAGAAGAGAGUGAAUAGUGAUCUAGGUCUUUUAGCUUAGUGGUCGUGUCCUAUAGUCAGCGUGUGCUCUGAUACCAUCUCUAUAGCGACCAAACCUCAAACAGUCUGAUCUCUGUGCUCCGGUGUCAUCCCUGGAUCAGUAAUGCUGACACCACACAGUACUCGGAGGAUUUGUAGCAGAGUAGCAAUCACACACUUAUUACAUCGAGUGUCUCAUAAGAAAGCUUAUUACAAUAAAUAUGGCUUAAGGCCAUCUAAUAACGAUAACAGCGGAAGGCUUGGAAGAUAAGUGAGCCCAUCAACACCAACGGCAUCACUGAGUAUAGGACCACGACCUAAAAACUCCUUAAUCGUCGUCUGAAAAGUCUGCAACAUUAACGUUGCAGCCCGAAAACGGGUCAGCACAUGGAAUAUGCUGGCAAGGUAACACAUAGAGAGUAAUGGAAUGAAACAGCUAUACUAUAUGCAUAUUUGGCUGGUGGAAAAGCUCUAUGGUUAUAUGUUUUUGCGAAAAGCCAGUUUUUCCCUACUACAAAGGAAUAAAAUUUAUUUAACUAUCAUGGUAGUUGUUAAACAUUGAGAAUGGUUGACAGCAUUCUCAAUCCCAAUUAAGCAUCAACAUUAAACAUAACCCAACAAAAUUAAUUUAGAGUAACAUGUUGAGAUUCACAUGAUAAUCCAGGUACUAGAUACUCAAGAUGUCCAUAACCGGGGACAUGGCUAAUCAUGAUUAGUUUGUUACACUCUGCAGAGGUUUGCGCACUUUUCCCCACAAGACUCGAUCGCCUCCGUUUGGUUUCUCGCACUACAUGGUGUUUGAGAAGACGGAUGAUCGAGACAUAGUCUUUCAGAAGCGCUAGCACCUUACGAUCGGGAAGACCGUACCACCUACAUCCCCUACAUCUGCUAGUCUACCACUGUAAGAGUUCGCACAACUUAGUCAACUAUGCUAGAGCCCAUAAUAGCUUGUGGCUGCACACGGAAGUUUCUAGUAUGAAUAGUCUUAUGAUCCCUUUGAGCCUGGGUGGCGGUCCAAAAGAAAACAGGCAAGUCCUGGAAUACCCAGGUGCCUUAAUCCACCCAGAUGUGUGUUUAAGUUGCCACCUUAGAUAAACCAUUAAUUAAGAAAACUCACAUUUGUCAUGGAUAUCACUCACCCAAUCCAUGUCUACUAGCAUAGCAUGGCAUAAUAAGCAAACGCGGAAGUAACUCCCGAAGGUUUGAUAAUAAACAGGUAACAGGUACUACCUCAACUACUUCCCAUCCCACAAUUUAAUUAGAUCCUAAUCAUGCAAUGUGUGAGGAUUGAUCUAAUGCAAUAAAACUGGGUAGUAGAAAAAGGUAUGAUCAAAGUGUUACUUGCCUUGCUGAUGAUCCGGGAAACCUAGCGAUUCGAAGUAACAAGCGGUGCACUCCGGAUACUCUAUCGCAAACAAACAAACGAGCAAGCAAUAAGUACUCAUCUAAUGCACAGGUAAAACUCAAAUAAGAGAUAUAACCAGAAGGUUCAACUUAAGAACUCCGGUUGGCAAAAAGAACCAAAUCGAACAAAGCAACGAAAGUCAAACGGCGAAAGAAAACAACUUCGUUCUAGUAAUCUGGAUCUAGGGAAAAUUUUACAAUAGCAAAAUCUUGUUUAAGUUGGUUAAACGGAUAGAGGGUUUCAAGACGAAACUCUAGGCGCUUGAAUCGCCUGAUUCCGAUAAACGAGCGAAAAGAUAAACUAAAACGAAAAUCGGAUCAGGAAUCGCGAUCAGAUAAAUCGCGGAUUUAAUCCGAGAAAAAGAAAAUUGAUGAACAGUUAAUCGAACGGACGUUCGUUAACAAAAACUAACCGGUGAACACGUUUGCUAAAAUGAACGGAUCGGUGAACGUCGGCGGCUAUACCUCCGGCGAGGUACUCCGGCGGCGGGGCGGGGCUCCUGCAGCGGCGGUGGCUAUGCGGGGCGUCAGGGCGGCGCAGCAGCGGCGGCAGCGGCGUGCGGCGCNNNNNNNNNNNNNNNNNNNNNNNNNNNNNNNNNNNNNNNNNNNNNNNNNNNNNNNNNNNNNNNNNNNNNNNNNNNNNNNNNNNNNNNNNNNNNNNNNNNNNNNNNNNNNNNNNNNNNNNNNNNNNNNNNNNNNNNNNNNNNNNNNNNNNNNNNNNNNNNNNNNNNNNNNNNNNNNNNNNNNNNNNNNNNNNNNNNNNNNNNNNNNNNNNNNNNNNNNNNNNNNNNNNNNNNNNNNNNNNNNNNNNNNNNNNNNNNNNNNNNNNNNNNNNNNNNNNNNNNNNNNNNNNNNNNNNNNNNNNNNNNNNNNNNNNNNNNNNNNNNNNNNNNNNNNNNNNNNNNNNNNNNNNNNNNNNNNNNNNNNNNNNNNNNNNNNNNNNNNNNNNNNNNNNNNNNNNNNNNNNNNNNNNNNNNNNNNNNNNNNNNNNNNNNNNNNNNNNNNNNNNNNNNNNNNNNNNNNNNNNNNNNNNNNNNNNNNNNNNNNNNNNNNNNNNNNNNNNNNNNNNNNNNNNNNNNNNNNNNNNNNNNNNNNNNNNNNNNNNNNNNNNNNNAGAGGGAGGGGGGUGCUGCCUUGGGGGAGGGGGCACGGCGGCGGCCCCGAGCCGGACUCGGGCGGCGGUGCGGCUCCGGUCUCCUGGAGGGAGACGCAGGCGGCGGGGUGGGCCGUCGGCUGGGCCUUGGCCCAGUCGGCGCGCGGCGCGUUUUUUGAAAAUCAAGCCUCACAGGGUGAACAUUUAUUUGGGACCUAAAUGCAAUUUUGAAAAACGCACAUUUUUCCUAAAUCAAAUAAAACACCGAAAAACUACGAAAUAAAAUCUUAUUUGAUUUUAUUAUUAAAUCCUCAAUAUUUCUUUAUUUUGGGAAAGUCAUUUUAUUCCCCCUCUCAUAGUUUUGUAAUAGAAAUAAUUGAUGAUAAAAUAAAUAAAAUCAAAUGAUCCUAUUCUCAAAAUUCUAGAGAACUCAAAUAUGAAAAUAUCGAAAUCCCCAACUCUUUCCGUGGGUCAUUGAGUUGCGUAGAAUUUCUAGGAUCAACCAAAAUGCAAAAGAAAUAUGAUAUGCAUUGAUGAUCUAAUGUAUAACAUUCCAAAUUGAAAAUUUGGGAUGUUACAAACCUACCCCCUUAAGAUGAAUCUCGCCCUCGAGAUUCGGGUUGGCUAGAAAAUAGGUGAGGGUGGUCUUUGAGCAAAUCUUCCUCUCGUUCCCAGGUGGCUUCAUCCUCCGUGUGGUGGCUCCACUGAACUUUGCAAAACUUGAUAACCUUGCUGCGAGUAACUCGGUUGGCAAACUCGAGAAUCUUGACUGGUUUCUCCUCGUAGGUCAAUUCAUUAUCCAACUGAAUAGUUUCCAAAGGCAUUGUAUCUCUCAACGGUAUGUCAGCCAUCUCCGCGUGACACUUCUUUAGCCGAGAAACGUGGAACACAUCAUGAACUCUAGACAAUCCUUCGGGCAAUUCCAACUUGUAGGCCACUUCUCCCAUAUGCUCCAAAACUCGAUAUGGUCCUACAAAUCGUGGUGCUAACUUCCCUUUAACUCCAAAACGCUUUGUUCCCCGAAGUGGAGAUACUCGAAGAUAAGCUCUAUCUCCAACUUCGUAAACUAUCUCCUUGCGUUUAGAAUCUGCAUAACUUUUCUGUCUAGACUGGGCUACCUUGAGCCUAUCGCGAAUCAACUUCACCUUCUAUUCAGACUCUUUAAUCAAGUUAGGUCCAAACAACUGACGGUCUCCAACUUCGUCCCAUGACAACGGUGUCCUGCACCUCCUUCCGUACAAGGCUUCGAAAGGGGCCAUCUUUAAACUGGUUUGGUAACUGUUGUUGUAAGAGAACUCUGCAUAUGGAAAAUUGUCGUCCCAACUAGAUCCAUAAUCUAGCGCACAAGCUCUCGGCAUAUCCUCCAAAAUCUGAUUGACUCUCUCGGUCUGUCCAUCUGUGUGUGGAUGAAAAGCUGUACUGAAUUCUAGCCUGGUACCCAAAGUUUCGUGCAACUGCUUCCAGAACUUUGAGGUAAACUGGGUUCCUCUAUCUGAUACGAUACUCCUUGGAACUCCAUGCAGACAAACGAUCCUGGUCAUGUAUAUCUUUGCCAACUUAGCAAUGUGUAAGUGGUCUUUACUGGGAUGAAAUGAGCUACUUUCGUCAAUCGAUCAACUACAACCCAAAUUGAGUCAUAGCCUGAACGAGUCCUGGGCAAUCCCAUGAUAAAAUCCAUGCCUAGCCUAUCCCACUUCCAUUCGGGUAUCGGCAAUGGUUGCAACAAUCCUGCUGGCUUCUGAUGCUCUGCCUUUACUCUCUGACAUACAUCACAAACUACUACAUACUCCGCUAUAUCCUUCUUCAUUCCGGUCCACCAGAAAAUAUUCUUCAAAUCCAAAUACAUCUUGGUGUUUCCUGGGUGAAUCGAAUAUGGUGAGUCAUGUGCCUCUUGCAGUAUCAACUUCCUGAUCUCCGGGUCAUUGGGCACGUAAACACGGUCUUCAAACCAUAGGGUGUCGUGUUCAUCCUCAUGAAAUCCUUUAGCUUUUCCUUUGCUCAGUUUCUCCUUUAUAGCGGCAAUCUCUCUGUCAGCUUUCUGAGCUUCUUUGAUUCUAUCCAUCAAAGUUGACUGAAUCUCCAAUGCUGCUACAUAGCCUCUCGGAACUAUUUCCAAACAUAGUUCACGAAGAUUUUCUACUAACUCCCUUGGUAUUUCUCCUGUCAUUAACGUAUUGACAUGGCUCUUGCGGCUUAAUGCGUCAGCUACUACAUUAGCCUUUCCGGGGUGAUAAUGCAAUUUCAUAUCAUAAUCCUUGAUAAGCUCCAACCAUCUCCUUUGUCUGAGAUUUAACUCCUUCUGGUAGAAAAUGUACUUCAAACUCUUAUGAUCCGUGUACACCUCACAAUGAUUUCCAAUGAGAAAAUGCCUCCAUGUUUUCAAGGCAUGCACUACGGCUGCUAACUCCAAAUCAUGCGUAGCAUAAUUUAACUCAUGAGGCUUCAGUUGUCUUGAGGCAUAUGAACCAACUCUCCCUUCCUGCAUAAGUACUGCUCCAAGUCCUCGACGUGAAGCGUCGCAAUACACCUCAUAGUCCUUGGUUUGAUCUGGCAAAAUCAACACUGGUGAGGUAACCAAACGUUUCUUCAACUCCUGGAAACUAGCCUCACACUCUUCUGUCCAUAUGAACUUGGUAUCCUUCUUUAAUAACUCUGUCAUAGGCUUCGCAAUUUUUGAGAAAUUCUCAAUAAAUCUCCGAUAGUAUCCUGCGAGUCCAAGAAAACUCCGGAUCUCUCCAACUGUUGUUGGGCCUUCCCACUUGGUCACGGUUUCAACUUUAGCGGGAUCUACUGCUAUACCUUCACCAGAUAUAACAUGUCCGAGGAAUCCUACUUCCUUCAACCAAAACUCACAUUUGCUGAACUUGGCAUAUAAUUGAUGUUCUCUGAGUUUUCCAAGUACCAAACGCAAAUGCACCUUAUGCUCCUCUUCAUUCUUCGAGUAAACCAGGAUAUCAUCAAUGAACACUAUGACGAACUUAUCCAAAAACUCCAUAAACACUUUGUUCAUCAUGUUCAUAAAAUAGGCAGGUGCGUUAGUCAGACCAAAUGACAUAACGGUGUACUCAUAUAGCCCAUAUCUGGUAGUAAAAGCUGUCUUCAGAAUAUCCUGUUCUCGAAUCUUCAACUGGUGGUAUCCUGAUCGCAGACCGAUCUUGGAAAAUACCUUAGCUCCUUGCAAUCGAUGAAAUAGAUCGUUGAUCAUUGGUAGUGGGUACUUGUUCUUGAUCGUUACUUCAUUCAAUCCUCGAUAAUCAACAACCAUCCUUAACGAUCCAUCCUUCUUCUCCACUAGAAGUACUGGCGAUUGCCAAGGUGAAGAACUUGGGCGAAUAUAUCCCUUAUCCAGUAACUCCUUAAUAUGCUUCUUAAUUUCCACCAAAUCCUUUGCUGGCAUCCUAUAUGGUCUCUUUGGUAUUGGCCCUGUGCCUGGCAAUAGGUCAAUCAAAAACUCGAUAUCUCUAUACGGUGGCAUGCCUGGCAACUCUUCUGGAAAUACAUCAGGGAAAUCUCUUACCACUGGUACUUCCUCCUGCACAACUCCUGUUAGGUAAUUUACUUGGGUCCUCUUUGGCACAUGCCGGGAUACAUACUUGAUCCUUCUCCCUUCUGGGGUGGUAAGCAAAAUUGACUUACUAGCACAUUCAAUAUUCCCUUCAUACUUUGAUAACCAAUCCAUGCCUAAUAUCACAUCCAAUCCUUAAGAUUCCAAUACUAUUAGGUCUGAGGGAAAAACAUAGUUACCAAUCCUUAAUGGUAACCGAUCACACCAUAGACUAGCCACAUACUCUGCUCCAGGCGAGGAUACUAACAUGGGUAACCUAAGGGCUUGGGUUGAUAGGUUGUAUUUAUCCACAAAUCCCUUUGAGAUGUAUGAAUGCGAUGCACCAGUAUCAAAAAGAACGAGUGCAGUAAAUGACUUAACCAAAAACUUACCUAUUACUGCAUCGGGAUGAGCUUCAACCUCCUCCACGCUAACGUGGUUCACCUGUCCCCUAUUGAAAGGGUUCGGCUUCUUCCCAGAACUUCCAUUGCCAUUUUGGCCUUCAGGACAUUCAUUGGCAUAGUGUCCGGUCUUCGAACACUUAUAGCAGGUGACUUGGUUCAAGUCCUUCUUGGCUGGGGUUGAGGGGUUGGUGCGGUUCUGGCUGUUGCUUCCUCCAUUGACAUUACCAUUCUUGGUGCCAUUGUGAUCGUGCGAGCUACCUCCUCCAUGGGUAUGCUGAAAAUGUCCUCCAGGUCUAGUGGUAAAACGUGGCUUCUGCUGAGCUCCUGAAUUGUACUUUCCUUGUCCAUAUUUGCUCUUGCGAUUCUCAAUUUGCUGCUGCUUCCCUUCAAUCAUAAGAGCACGAUCUACCAACUCCUGGUAGUUGUUGAAGGUGGCUACCAUCAACUGCAUGCUCAACUCAUCAUUCAGUCCUUCCAGAAACUUCUCCUGCUUAGCUGCAUCCGUAGCGACGUCAUCUGAGGCAUAACGUGCUAACUUACUAAAUUCCUCCACAUACUGGCCAACUGUCCGUCCUCCUUGGCGCAAGUUACGAAACUCACGCUUCUUCAUGGCCAUAGCUCAUGCUAAAACAUGGGCAAUACAGAAAGCCUGCUGAAACUGGUCCCAUGUGACAGUGUCGACUGGGAAGGUGGCUGUGAAAUUCUCCCACCAUGAUGCUGUGGGUCCUUCUAGCUGAUGUGCGGCAACUUCACCUUCUCCGCAUCUGUGCAUCCUGCUGUGGUCAACUCCCUAGCUGUCUUGCGGAGCCAAUCAUCUGCUACUAUCGGCUCGGUGCUACUGGAAAACACCGGCGGAUUCAGCCUAAGAAAACGGGCUAAGUGGUCAACAGGUGGUGGUGGUGGUGGUGGGUUGUUGUUAUUGUUCCCCUGAUUCUGAUUCUGGACUAGCAACUGCAUCAAUGUGUUCUGCUGCUGGAUCAACUGGGUGAGCUCCGGUGGGAAGGCAAAUCCGGGGUCACGUCUCGGAGGCAUCUGUGGGUUUAGAAAAGAUGAGAUAUAAGAAUAGAGAGGGUCUAAAGAGAAAACACUACCCAUAUGCACAUGAGGCAAAAGCAAACAAUUCACUUCAAUCAAUCAAACAAAGGCAUACAAUCGAUCUAACUAUCGCAAAAGUGCUCGGACUACUAUAUUUACAUGGUGGACUACUACUACUGAUGAGGUGGUCUACUAGAAAUAUUCUUCGGUUGCAGACUCCAUGAUAUCUGCUCCAGCUUCAUCAACAUAGUCAUCGUCGCUACUAUCUGCUUCCGAGUCGGUGCCGUCGAUGAUGAUGUAGUCUUCCGGGCUAAUUUCCUGGGGUUCUUCGUCUUCAUCUACUGGCGUAGGGCCUCCCAUAAAUAUUCCAAUCUUCUUGACCAGGUCGUCAUUCUUCUCCACAAAUACUUCAAUUUCUUCUUCAUAAUCUUCACGUGUAGCCUUGAGUUCGUCCUCCAGUUCCUUGAUUCUUGUCUUAGCCUUCUUCAGAUCUAUCAUGUCGGUGCACAUCUGGUUCUCCUGUCGUCGAAUGUGCUGGUUUAGCUCCUGGAUAAAAGCUGCGAUUGAUCUAUCAUUCCUGGUGCUGAUCAUCUCCCAGUGCUCAUCUCGGCGCCCACAAAUCUGGUAGAUAGUAUCUUUGAGAUCCUUGCGGUAGACUUCUCCAAUGCGUCCCAUGGCGAUGUGAGCUGCCAUGCUUUUUCCUAGACUCUAAGUUGGUGCAUCAAAAGAAAACUCGAUGGGCUCAGUGACAGGCAUGAACGUCCUUCCUGGAACUUGAACUUGAAUCAUCCAGCGCUCUUUUUCAGGUAAAGUGGCGUUGUAGGUUCCCGUGAAGCUUGGUACUCCUAUGUUCAGGUAUCUAAUGACUUCCUUCAAGUGACGUCCAAAGGGUGUAUCUUCAUCCCGUUGUGUGAACUUGUUCCUUGCAUCCGCCAUCCUAAAGAGUAGAAAGGAUGAGGAGUCAGACAAGAAGAGAGUGAAAAGUGAUCUAGGUCUUUUAGCUUAGUGGUCGUGUCCUAAAGUCAGCGUGUGCUCUGAUACCAUAUCUGUAGCGACCAGACCUCAAACAGUCUGAUCUCUGUGCUCCGGUGUCAUCCCUGGAUCAGUAAUGCUGACACCACAUAGUACUCGGAGGAUUUAUAGCAGAGUAGCAAUCACACACUUAUUACAUCGAGUGUCUCAUAAGAAAGCUUAUUACAAUAAAUAUGGCUUAAGGCCAUCUAAUAACGAUAACAACGGAAGGCUUGGAAGAUAAGUGAGUCCAUCAACUCCAACGGCAUCACUGAGUAUAGGACCACGACCUAAAAACUCCUUAAUCAUCGUCUGAAAAGUCUGCAACAUUAACGUUGCAGCCCGAAAACGGGUCAGCACAUGGAAUAUGCUGGCAAGGUAACACAUAGAGAGUAAUGGAAUGAAACAGCUAUACUAUAUGCAUAUUUGGCUGGUGGAAAAGCUCUAUGGUUAUAUGUUUUUGCGAAAAGCCAGUUUUUCCCUACUACAAAGGAAUAAAAUUUAUUUAACUAUCAUGGUAGUUGUUAAACAUUGAGAAUGGUUGACAGCAUUCUCAAUCCCAAUUAAGCAUCAACAUUAAGCAUAACCCAACAAAAUUAAUUUAGAGUAACAUGUUGAGAUUCACAUGAUAAUCCAGGUACUAGAUACUCAAGAUGUCCAUAACCGGGGACACGGCUAAUCAUGAUUAGUUUGUUACACUCUGCAGAGGUUUGCACACUUUUCCCCACAAGACUCGAUCGCCUCCGUUUGGUUUCUCGCACUACAUGGUGUUGGAGAAGACGGAUGAUCGAGACAUAGUCUUUCAGAAGCGCUAGCACCUUACGAUCGGGUAGACCGUACCACCUACAUCCCCUACAUCUGCUAGUCUACCACUAUAAGAGUUCACACAAGUUAGUCAACUAUGCUAGAGCCCAUAAUAGCUUGUGGCUGCACAUGGAAGUUUCUAGUAUGAAUAGUCUUAUGAUCCCUUUGAGCCUGGGUGGCGGUCCAAAAGAAAACAGGCAAGUCCUGGAAUACCCAGGUGCCUUAAUCCACCUAGAUGUGUGUUUAAGUUGCCACCUUAGAUAAACCAUUAAUUAACAAAACUCACAUCUGUCAUGGAUAUCACUCACCCAAUCCACGUCUACUAGCAUAGCAUGGCAUAAUAAGCAAACGCGGAAGUAACUCCCAAAGGUUUGAUAAUAAACAGGUAAUAGGUACUACCUCAACUACUUCCCAUCCCACAAUUUAAUUAGAUCCUAAUCAUGCAAUGUGUGAGGAUUGAUCUAAUGCAAUAAAACUGGGUAGUAGAAAAAGGUAUGAUCAAAGUGUUACUUGCCUUGCCGAUGAUCCGGGAAACCUAGUGAUUCGAAGUAACAAGCAGCGCACUCCGGAUACUCUAUCGCAAACAAACAAACGAGCAAGCAAUAAGUACUCAUCUAAUGCACAGGUAAAACUCAAAUAAGAGAUAUAACUAGAAGGUUCAACUUAAGAACUCCGGUUGGCAAAAAGAACCAAAUCGAACAAAGCAACGAAAGUCAAAUGGCGAAAGAAAACAACUUCGUUCUAGUAAUCUGGAUCUAGGGCAAAUUUUACAGUAGCAAAAUCUUGUUUAAGUUGGUUAAACGGAUAGAGGGUUUCGAGACGAAACUCUAGGCGCUUGAAUCGCCUGAUUCCGAUAAACGAGCAAAAAGAUAAACUAAAACGAAAAUCGGAUCAGGAAUCGCGAUCAGAUAAAUCGCGGAUUUAAUCCGAGAAAAAGAAAACUGACGAACAGUUAAUCGAACGGACGUUCGUUAACAAAAACUAACCGGUGAACACGUUCGCUAAAACGAACGGAUCGGUGAACGUCGGCGGCUAUACCUCCGGCGAGGUACUCUAGCGGCGGGGUGGGGCUCCGGCGGCGGCGGUGGCUAUGCGGGGCGGUGGGGUGGCGCAGCAGCGGCAGUGGCGGCGGCGGCGUGCGGCACGCGGCGGCAGCUGCGGCAGCGCAGGCGGCGGGCGGGGUGAGGUGAGGGGCGGCGGGGCGGCUCGGUAUUUAAGAGAGGAAGGGGGGGUGCUGCCUUGGGGGAGGGGCACGGCGGCGGCCCCGAGUCGGACUCGGGCGGCGGCGAUGCUCCGGUCUCCUGGAGGGAGAAGCAGGCGGCGGGGUGGGCCGUCGGCUGGGCCUUGGCCCAGUCGGCGCGCGGCGCAUUUUUUAUAUAUAUAUAUUCCGCUCGGAAAAAGGAAAAAAAGAAAUACUAAAUGGACUCCAAAAAUUCCGAAAUAAAUUUCCACGGGCUUCUAAAAUCAAGCCUCAUAGGGUGAACAUUUAUUUGGGACCUAAAUGCAAUUUUGAAAAACGCACAUUUUUCCUAAAUCAAAUAAAACACCGAAAAACUACGAAAUAAAAUCUUAUUUGAUUUUAUUAUUAAAUACUCAGUAUUUCUUUAUUUUGGGAAAGUCAUUUUAUUCCCUCUCUCAUAAUUUUGUAAUAGAAAUAAUUGAUGAUAAAAUAAAUAAAAUCAAAUGAUCCUAUUCUCAAAAUUUGAGAGAACUCAAAUAUGAAAAUAUCGAAAUACCCAACUCUCUCCGUGGGUCAUUGAGUUGCGUAGAAUUUCUAGGAUCAACCAAAAUGCAAAAGAAAUAUGAUAUGCAUUGAUGAUCUAAUGUAUAACAUUCCAAAUUGAAAAUUUGGGAUGUUACACAAUUUGACAGUUAAUAAAAAGUGAAACAAGUGACUGCAACAUGCCACAGAUGUUAUGAAAAUGCCAACUACGUACACUAAAACCUGUAUUCGACAAUACCGCAGGUAUCACACUUAGUAGCCUAAGCAAGCAUUUCUUCCAGCGCAAUUCCAGGGCAUUCAAAAGGGGCAUGUGGACGCGUCGCAAAAUACAGUCGGAGUGCGGCAUGUACGCGAUGUGGCACAAGACCGGCAAUACCUUGCCGGUGAUGGUCAAUGGCCAGCAGACGGGCAGCAAUAAGGUUCUAGUGUUGCACACCAACAAGAACUUCGACCAUUCCUACAAAAAAAUAAAAAAAGAACUUCGACCAGCAGAGGACCAACUAGGUGAACUGGGUGAUGCACCAGUACCACCUCGGGGACCAGGAGUAAGAGAAGGAGCGGGAGCUGGUCUUCCGCAAGAUUUUCUACCAGACGAACACUAGGGCCAGGAAUAAAAAGAUUAUAAGUUAGUUUGGUAUUGGUACUUGUACUACCUUGUCGUUCGCAAGUUGGUAUUGCUGUUAACGAUCUUUUGGUAUGAACUUGGCAUUUCUUCCAACCAUCAUGCCAAGGGUCGACAUAGAUAUAAAGUUGAAUCAUUUGUUUCGAAACAAAUUUUUAGGCACCUGAUUUUUAUUUGAUGGGUAGCAUAAGCACCUGCCGUUCGAAUUCCCAGUUCUCCAAAUUUUUUGAAACAAGUGCAUGAACUUAUUAUCACGAUGAAAAAUAUACCUGCUGCAUCCCAAUUAUCAGUCUGUACUUGCAGAAUUCUCUCAUUUAUUGAGCAAGUAUAUUAUUUUUUCAGGUCGAGCAAGUUUCAACUGGGUUAUAGACUGCCCAGGAUUGGUUUUGUUUUUAACAGACCUAGCCCAUGACGACAAUGUGGCACAAAGAUCUAGCAAGUAUCUACUGGCCUCUGUCCCGCUAGCGUUAGUUAUAUUUUGUCUUACAACAUCCGCAGACAGUUUUUUUACUGAAUCAAACACACAACCCAGUUCUAUUUUCCUCUUGAAAUGCCAUGUCCUACUUCCGUUUUCCAAUCCCUACCAAUAGUUUUACUAGUUCAUAUACACGUAUCAUUAUAUUGAAAAUACAUAAAGUUCCCUUUUCAUAUUUACAUCUUUAUUUUUGUUGUUGUUUUCCCUCCCAGUGCUGAUUUUUUUACCACUAGUUUUCCCUUAAACCAACUCAAUUGUCCCACGUCUUGUUUGCUUACAAAAACAAAACAAUUUUUGGCAAAUAAAUAAGUUCUUAAAAAAUGUUUAUCAUUUCGGGAUUACAACAGUUCGGAUUCCACCGAAAUAUGCAAAAUAAGGUUGAUCUUUUUGACCGUGGUCCUGGCCAGAAAAUGGGCUGUAAUAAAUUACUUAAGAAUUAGCAAAUGGGCUGCACAUUAUUAAAAAAUAGCAAAUGGGCUCCAUGUUUUCUGCCACAGAUUUGGAGGCUUACUUGUGGGCCUACUAAGUUCAUGCGUACACAAGGUUUCUCAAAGAAAGAAACUUAGUCAACAAUCGACUCUACCAGCGUCAGACCGUUAGAUGUCAAUCUAAUGGCAAUCGUGCUUCUUCGGUCUUUGAUCUUCCUGCUCCAGCCGCCCAAACCAUAGCCGGCGGAACCGCCUGCUCCCACCUCCCGUGGUCGGCUGUCCUGCCGGGCAGGCCUCACGGCCCCACCAUACUCGCAUCCCUGGCCUGGCUAUCCCUCUACUCACCCACACCUCCUGUUAUUUUCCGGCGACGGCCGUCGAACCAGUCAACCCUCGUACUCCCCACUGCGUGGGCAGCCACUGUCGUGUCUUCCCUAGCUCCGUGUUGUUCCCUUCAUAGGCCUCGCCAUCGUCCACAGCCCUGGUGCUCUCGGCGCGGCGUGGUCAACAAACGACAUCCAUCGGAAGUGGACUAUACGUGGAGAGGAUGACAGCUAGGUCCACGGCCGCACACAAGGAAAUGCCUUCUUAUUACACGCAAAAAUUAUGAUUCCUCCACCUGACAUCUGGGACCAACCGAAAGGGCCUAUAUAUUUCGCCAAAAAAUGUUCCAGCCACUGAUAGCUCGGACCCACCAGCUAUAUCUUCGCACACAAGGAAGUGCUUCCUUAUUACGCAUAAAAAUGAAUACUCCCCCUGCUAGCUAGGACCCAACAUAAUGGGAGGCUGACUUGUGGGCCUACUAAGUUGACGGGGAUGGAGGGCUUUGUCGACUUAGUCAAUAUGAACGAUUCUAGCUCCAGUGACCUUACGAUGUCCAUCCAAUGGUCGUAGUGCUUCUUCAACCUCUAGUCUUCUUGCUCCAGCCGCCCAAACAAGCAUCGGUCAUGCCGCCUGCUCCUGCCUCCUGUGGCCGGUUGUGCUGCCACCGCUGGCCAAGCCAUCCCUCUAUACUCACCCACACCUCCUGUUAUUCUCCGGCAACGGCAGCCUCACACCGCAGCCGAAGUAGUCAACCCACGUACUCCCCUCCGCGUGGGCAUCCACUGCCGCGUCUUCCCCGGCUCCGCAUCGUCCCCUUCCGAGACCUCGCCGUCGUCCACCGCCCUGGUACUCUCAGCGCGACGUGGUCCAUGUGGUCAUUGAACGACUUCCAUCAGAAGAGUACUGUACGUGGAGAGGCUGACAACUGGGUCCACGGCCACAAGGAAAUGCCUCCUUAUUACGCGCAAAAUAAUGAUUCCUCCACCUGACAGCAGGGACCCACCAGAUGGGCCACCGUAUUUCGUGAAAAAACGUUUCCCCCUGACUACCGGGACCCACUAGCUACAUCUUCGCACGCAAGGAAGUGCGUCCAUAUUACGGGAAAAAGAAUGAUUUGCCCCCCUGACUGCUGGGACCCACCAGCUACAUCUUCGCAUGCAAGGAAGUGCCUCACAGUCGGGAUCCACCUGGUCGAAGCGUAUGUAGCGUUGUUAUUCUGGUGGCGAACGUGUACGUACAUACUGGUCGAUCGGUCUGUCUGCAGGCUACAGCGAUGAACCGUGGCCGCGUAAGGAAGGGCACGUGUCGUAGUAGAGGCGCGCACAUAGCAUGUACACGGAUGUACAGUGGCCAGGAUCCAAGAAAGUAAAUACGGACACGUACGUACAUAUGGGCGGGGUCUCGAACGCCUACUCGCGCAUACGUACGGCCAGGGCUCGUGUACAUGGCUGUGGCUGGGUACGAAUGGAGAAACUGCAUCGUCGUCGUGUUCAUGGGGAGGCAUCAGAAUGCGUCGUGUUCAUCGGGAGGCAACAUAAUGCGUACUGUUCAUCGGGAGCCAACCAGCUUGGAUGGAACAUCCGAUGGAAAUGAGGCUUGGCGUACCGCAGAAUGGAGGAAACGACCUUGUGUUCGAGCAGCCAUGGUGGAAACGGGAUCCUGUUCAUCGGGAGGGGUCUGGCGUACCGCAAAACGGAGGAAACAGACCUCGUACGGUGGAAACGGGGUCCUGUUUAUCGGGAGGGGGGUGGCAUACCGAAAAACGGAGGAAAUGGACUUGUGUUAGAGCGCUACGGUCGAAAUAGGGUUCCUGCUCAUCGGGAGGGGUGUGGCGUACCACAAAACAGGACUCCAUGGGAUACUGUUCAUCUCCACCGUCGACCUCCUCCAGCCUCCAGGGGCUACUGUUCAUCCACCGUCGACCUCCUCCAGCCUCCACCUGCGACUGUUCAUCCACAGGCUCCUGUUCAUCCAGCCUCCAGCGCGCGCUCCUCCACCGGCUACUGUUCAACCAGCCCUCCACCGCAUACUGUUCAACCAGCCAUCCAUGGGGUCCUAUUCAUCCAGCCCUCCACAGGGUCCUGUUCAUCCACCGGCUCGAUCGAUCGAGGUCAUGUUCAUCCAAUGGCAACGGCCUCUACUACCACGGGGUCCUGUUCAUCCAACCCCCCACUGGGAACUGUUCAUCCAAACCCCCUAAACAACGCUCACUAUUCAUCAAGGGAAGGAGGCAGCAGUGUUCGAUCGGCUUCAGUUAGCAGCAGUAGUGAAGGAAUCACUCGGGUUCAGUUAACAGCAAGGGAUCGAUCGAUCGCUCGGGUUUAGUAACACGUAGCCUGCAGUGCAAUCGCACGGGUUCAGUUAGAGGCCAAUGCCUCAAACACACGCGCGUAUGUAUGAGAGAAACGCGCAUCGCUCGGCCCCCGACAACCCACCGCAACCGGGAACUCCCUGAUAUUUUCCUCGCCCUCGCUUCUACCAUGGUUUUUUCCGUCAUGGACGGGCCAAAGAAUGUCAUGCAACUGCGUCUCCGCCCCUCCCAGGACGAAAAGCCCAUUUUCUAUCAUGAUUUAUUGUCAUAAAAGUAGGAGCCCACCACAUCUAUGAUGAUACCGGGUUUUGUCACAAUUAUCGUCAUAGAAGUGUCGCAAGUAUGACAGAAAAAAUUUCGUUCGGCCCAAAAUAUCAUGGAUGUGUCUUUUUUUGUAGUGAUAUUCUUGGAAUGGAGCUGACAGGCUUCACACAUGGUGACUAGCUCUAUUGCAUCUUGGAGGGCUAUGGGCCAGUGGAAACAUUGUCUAAAAGCUUUCCCAACCAAGACCCUUGUGUAUCUCUACCAGCAGUUCCUUUCCUUCUUCCCAGCAAAUGCAUUUCUAUUUCACACUCUUAGGACUUCAUCUGUAUAGCGUGUCAUCAACGAACGGAUACAUACUAGCCCUCUGGGCUACUCUUUCAGCUUCUUCUUGCUCUUCAGGAAGUUCUCCUAUUUGGAGGAAACAAACGAUGUGUCACUCCCAAGUUGGAGCCUGAGGCUCGACAACGAGGACCAACGGCACCUCCUCAUUCACGGGAGCGCAUGCCUCAACCGCAAAGAUUGGUAGUUUGGCGGGAGGAUGCAGCUCACCGAUUAAAGGGAAGUUGCUCCCGCCAAGCUCUCUGUCGGGGGCUUCGGGAAGCUCUGCCAGGAGAGGCUUGACAGAGUCAAGUUUCCUCCUCUUUCUUGACAUUGUUGCCGAGGAUACGGAGGGCUGAGUCAGAAAAAAAAACUCCUAGUUCCACUAGGAGUUUUGUGCAGUGCACUUUGACAGGUGAUCAACAAUGUUGUUUUCCGCAUGCGGCGCAUGCUCUAUUUGCAAUCCCCCAAAGCGGUCGUCCAACUUCCUCACUUCCUCGAUGUACGCCUCCAUCAAUUUGCUUUGAUAGUCCUUGUUUACUUGUCUCACCACAAGUUGUGAAUCUCCAUGGAUGAUCAACUUCUUGAUUCCCAAUUUUGUUGCAAUUUUGAGACUGGCAAGGAGCCCUUCAUACUUUGCAGUGUUGUUGGUAGCCUUCUCCUGGGGAAAAUGCAUGUGAACGACGUACUUGAGGUGCUCCUAGUGGGAGCAACGAGAAGCACGUCAAUUGUGUGACGUGGCGAUUGUAAGCCUACUAUGUAUCUCUUUCCUUUAUUCAGUACAUGGGUUGUGUGAAGAUUACCCCACUUGUGACAUUGCUUACAAUGCGUUUAUGCCUCUAAGUCGUGCUUCGACAUGUGGGAGAUAUAGCCGCAUCGUGGGCGUUACAUAUUGUAUUGUUUCCAUCGAGGAUAAAAAGAUGGGGUUUAUAUCAUAUUUCAUGAGUUUAUCCCUCUACAUCAUGUCAUCUUGCUUAAAGCAUUCAUCUGUUCUUAUGAACUUAGUACUCUAGAUGCAUGCUGGAUAGCGGUCGAUGUGUGGAGUAAUAGUAGUAGAUGCAGGCAGGAGUCGGUCUACUUGUCACGGACAUGAUGCCUAUAUACUUGAUCAUACCUAGAUAUUCUCAUAACUAUGCUCAAUUCUAUUAAUUGCUCAACAAUAAAUUUUUUAUCCACUGUAAUACUUAUGCUAUCUUGAGAGAAGCCACUAGUGAAACCUAUGGCCCCCGGGUCUAUUUUCCAUCAUAUUAAUCUCCCGUCAACAAGCUAUUUCUUGCGCCGUUUAUUUUGCUUUCUUUACUUUUAGUCUUUAUCAUAAAAAUACCGAAAAUAUUAUCUUAUCUUCUCUAUCAGAUCUCACUUUUGCAAGUGGUCGUGAAGGGAUUGACAACCCCUUUAUUGCAUUGGUUGCAAGGUUCUUAUUUGUUUGUGUAGGUGCAAGGAACUUGAGUGUGGCCUCCUACUGGAUUGAUACCUUGGUUCUCAAAAACUGAGGGAAAUACUUACACUACUUUGCUGCAUCACCCUUUGCUCUUCAAGGGAAAACCAACGCAGUGCUCAAGAGGUAGCAAUACCCCGCCACCAUCAUCGGCCCCCGGGCUUAGCCCGGCAGCGUCUUCCGGCGGCGGCGGAGGGACAGGAGGAGGGAGUUUGCGCCGGCAGCGGCGGCUAGGUUUCUGGCCGCCCGAGUCGCCCUAGGGGGAGGACGACGGGGGGGUUUGGCCGCCCACGUCCAUGCAGUGCGAGUAACGAGCUGCCUAAUAAUACUUUGUAGCACACCUAGAAGUUCAUCUGCACCCGACCUUUCCAUGAACCCCCUUUGCUCCAAUUAAUAGCACAUAUAUAUAAGUACAUAUUUGCGUUGCCGCCCAACUAACAAGUUUAAGCUCAAUUCGGCAAGCCACUUACAUUUACUUCAACUUACCCAUAUUGUGCUUGUUGAUCAUUGUACGUAAUAUUGAGGAUUAUUCGAUCAACUUCAGCCAGCAAUGACACAACCUACAUCAUUAGUUCCAUCUAGCAAUAACACCACCUCGAGCAGGUACCAUCUUCUACAUGAAAUCAAGCCACCUCCAACAGGAUCCAUAUUGGAUGACAAGUUCAAAUAGUUUACCAAUAGUAUACUACGAGCAUGUUCUUUACAAAGCAUACUAGAAAUCCAAGGAACAAAAGUAAUGAAUGAAGCAAAAAAGGAUACAGAGAACAAACUUCUUGAUAGAGGCAAAGGUGUCCCGUCUUUCGAUGAGAUGAUGGAUAUCGCUUUGGUGGCAGUCGACUUUGACGAUCCGACUACGAACGUGCGAGGACAUCGCGCCUUAGCAAUCGCUAAACCAACUCCGAGAGGUUAUUGACCAUGCCGAAGCACGAUCAACCUAACCACGAGGGUCUGUUUCCUACGAGCAAACGAAGAACAAGCAAGAAACUGAGAUUUGCAAUCUGGAUAUUGCGAAUAUAAGAUGAAAGCUUUAUUGAUCAAGGUGGGGUUCUGUGACGCCUUUGUCUGGUCGUUGAACACAAACGAAGUACGCGAAGUUGCAGCUAUGGCGAACUUUUAAUCUAAACAAAACCCAAAGUCUAAACGAUGCCCUAAGGGCUGUAUAUAUGGAGGAAGAGGGGGGAAUUUCGUGACCCUUGGUGGAGGGAUCCGAAAUCAACCCUAUCUCUUGUUUCCCCACACAUACGGACUCUAAAAAUAGCCUAUACUUAUGUAUUUCGAAAUUACAUGGGCCUGGCCCAAUAAUAAGGUGAUGCAGGACCUAUAAUAGCCUCGGGACGAAAUUUAUGAAGUGGCAUCUUGUAUAUUUCGUCCAAGGCUUCAUGCACCCAUUAUGGUGGCUUCAAAGUCCUGAAAUCAUCACUUGUAACUCCGUUCUUGUUCCCCUUGCGCAUGCCAUCAUCUCCAUGCUUGUUCUUAAUCCAAUGUUCAUCCUUCUCCAAGCUAGGCCCUUCAUUUGUAAGCAAAACAAAUGUAUCCAAUUUAGGCAGCAUCAUAUUCUCAUGAACAUUAGAAUCAUUACCAAGAAACGAAAGUACCUGGUAAUUUAGUUGGCGUGCGCGAGCUCUAGUAAUUGGUCCAGUAUUUAUAGCAGCAGGGGCUGUGGGUGUAACAAUUGUAUUGAUGUCCUCAUCAUCCUCCCCUUCUUGAAAUAAAGUCGUCCUCGAUGGAAGUUCAUCUUCCUCACCCAAAUAAGGCUUCAAAUCUGCAAUGUUAAAAGUGGGACUAACCCCAAAACCUGCAGGCAGCUCAAGUUUAUAUGCAUUAUCAUUUAUUUUCUCUAACACCUUAAAGGGACCAUCAGCACGUGGCAUUAACUUUGAUUUGCGCAAAUCCGGAAAUCUAUCCUUACGCAAAUGUAACCAAAAAAGAUCUCCAGGUGCAAACACAACAUGCUUUCUACCCUUAUCUCGAGCAAGUUUAUAUUUAGCAUUCAUACGCUCAAUGUUUUCCUUAGUUAACUCAUGCAUUUUUAAAAUCAAUUCAGCAUGUUGUUUAGCAUCAAAAUUAACCUUCUCCGAAGAUGGAAGAGGCAACAAAUCAAUAGGUGCACGAGGUAGGAAACCAUACACAACUUCAAAAGGGCACAUCUUAGUAGUAGAAUGCAAUGAACGAUUAUAAAUAAAUUCAAUAUGAGGCAAGCAUUCCUCCCACAUUUUCUUAUUAUUCUUCAAAUCAGCCCUAAGCAUAGUAGACAACGUUCUAUUGACUACUUCAGUUUGUCCAUCAGUUUGGGGGUUACAAGUAGUACUAAAAAGCAGUUUAGUCCCCAACUUAGCCCAUAAACAUCUCCAAAAGUGGCUAAGAAAUUUAGUAUCACGAUCUGAAACAAUAGUAUUUGGCACACCAUGCAAGCGAAUAAUUUCACGAAAGAACAAAUCAGCAACAUUAACAGCAUCAUCGCUUUUAUGACAUGGUAUAAAGUGUGCCAUUUUCGAGAAUCUAUCCACGACAACAAAUAUGCUAUCCCUCCCCUUCUUUGUUCGAGGUAAACCUAAAACAAAGUCCAUAGAUAUAUCCUCCCAAGGAACACUAGGUACAGGCAAAGGCAUAUAUAAACCAUGAGGAUUGAGUCGUGACUUAGAUUUUUGACAUGUAGUGCAUCGAGCAAUAAAACGCUCAACAUCCCGUCUCAUCUUUGGCCAAAAGAAAUGUGUAGCAAGUACGUCCUCCGUCUUCUUCACGCCAAAGUGUCCCAUUAAUCCUCCUCCAUGCGCCUCCUGCAACAACAAAAGACGAACGGAGCUAGCUGGAAUGCAUAGCUUGUUAGCACGAAACACAAAUCCAUCGUUAACGACGAACUUGUUCCACAUUCUUCCUUCUUUACAAUUCUGCAUUACAUCUUUAAAAUCAGCAUCAUGCACAUAUUGAUCUUUGAUGGUCUCCAAACCAAAUAUUUUGAAGUCAAGUUGUGAAAGCAUAGUAUAGCGGCGAGACAAUGCAUCAGCAAUAACAUUUUCUUUUCCCUUCUUGUGUUUAAUGACAUAAGGAAAAGUCUCAAUGAAUUCAACCCAUUUAGCAUGUCUACGAUUCAGUUUAGCUUGACUUUUAAUAUGUUUCAAAGAUUCAUGAUCAGAAUGUAUAACAAAUUCUUUGGGCCAUAAAUAAUGUUGCCAUGUUUCUAAAGUCCGAACAAGAGCAUAUAAUUCUUUAUCAUAAGUAGAAUAAUUCAGACUAGGCCCACUCAAUUUUGCAGAAAAGUAUGCAACAGGUUUGCCAUCUUGUAAUAACACACCACCUAAUCCAAUUCCACUAGCAUCACAUUCAAGCUCAAAAGUCUUAUUAAAAUCAGGAAGUUGGAGUAAAGGACCAUGUGUCAACUUAUAUUUCAAUACCGAGAAGGCUUCUUCCUGUGCGGUACCCCAAAGAAAAGGCACAUCUUUCUUUGUAAGCUCAUUGAGAGGUGCAGCAAUGGUGCUGAAAUCUCUCACAAAACGCCUAUAGAAUCCAGCGAGGCCAAGAAAACUCCUCACUUGUGUGACCGUUUUGGGUUGCGGCCAACUCUCAAUAGCUUCAAUCUUGGCUUUAUCAACUUCAAUUCCCUGUGGAGUAACAACAUAGCCAAGAAAAGAUACUCGGUCGGUGCAAAAGGUGCACUUCCCAAGGUUACCAAACAAACGUGCAUCACGUAGAGCAAUAAAAACAGCACGUAAAUGUUCCAAAUGUUCUUCCAAAGAUCUGCUAUAAAUCAAUAUGUCAUCAAAGUAAACUACCACAAAUCGUCCAAUGAAAGCACGUAAAACUUUGUUCAUUAAUCUCAUGAAAGUACUAGGUGCAUUAGUUAACCCAAAAGGCAUGACUAACCACUCAUAUAAGCCAAACUUAGUUUUGAAUGCUGUUUUCCAUUCAUCUCCCAAUUUCAUACGAAUUUGAUGGUAUCCACUACGCAAAUCAACUUUGGAGAAUAUUGUAGAGCCACUCAAUUCAUCAAGCAUAUCAUCUAGCCUAGGAAUAGGAUGACGAUAACGAAUAGUAAUAUUAUUAAUGCCUCUACAAUCAACACACAUACGUGAUGUACCAUCCUUUUUCGGCACUAGAAUAAUAGGAACAGCACAAGGACUAAGGGAUUCGCGUAUAUAACCUUUGUCGAGAAGCUCUUGUACUUGACGCAUAAUCUCCUUCGUCUCCUCUGGAUUGGUACGGUAUGGUGCACGGUUUGGCAGUGAAGCACCAGGAAUUAAGUCAAUCUCAUGCUCAAUCCCUCGAAUAGGCGGUAAUCCCGGUGGCACGUCUUGUGGAAAGACGUCAGCGAACUCCUGCAAAAUGUUAGUGACAGCAGGAGGCAAAGAGGAAGGCACGUCCUCGAAUGAAAUUAAUGCCUCUUUGCACACAAAAGCAUAGCAAACGGAUUUGCUGAAAUCUAGCUCAUCAAUAUCAGAUUUGGUGGCAAAUAAACAUGCACUUUUCAAUUUAAUUUCAGAAGCAACACUAGAUGGUUUAUUAUUAGGCUUCAUUUGUUGCUCAAAUUCUUUUGCCAAAAUCUGAUUUUCACUCUUAUUCGUCUCCUGUUUUGCUUUAUUAGCUCUAUUAAUAUCAUCUUUCAAAAUGGAAUCAGGAGUCAUAGGAAGCAAAGUAAUAUUUUUAUCCUUAUGAACAAGAGUAUAGUGAUUGUUUCUACCAUGGUGUACAGAAUUUUUAUCAAAUUGCCAUGAUCUACCAAGUAAUAAGGAACAUGCUUGCAUAGGUACCACAUCACAAUCAACAUAAUCAGCAUAUGUAGAGAUACUAAAAUGCACACGAACAGUACAUGUUACCUUAACCUUGCCGCUGUUGUUGAACCAUUGGAUGUAGUAAGGAUGUGGAUGUGGUCUUGUGGUGAGAGAAAGCUUCUCCACCAUCUCCAUGCUAGCCAAGUUGUUGCAGCUCCCUCCAUCUAUGAUGACGCGCACAAAACGUUCUUUCACAACUCCCUUGGUAUGGAACAAAUUGUGCCUCUGAUUUUGCUCAGCUUGUGUGACCUGCACACUCAAAACACGUUGAGCAACUAAACAUUCAUACCUGUCAGCGUCUUCAGGAGCCAUGUAUUGCGUCUCAUGAUCAGAAUCAUCUCCACCAUGUUCUUCACGUGUAAUAAGAGCCAAAGUCUCCUCAUCAUAGUCACUAGCGGACUCAUAUCCACCAUCCGCGGUAGCAAUCAUCACAUGCGGAGAUUUGCAUUCUCUCGCAUAAUGACCUCCUCCCUUACAACAACGACAAGUAAUAUCACUUGUGUGCCCUAUUGAUGCCAUGGAAGAAGCAGAACUCUGUGCAGGCCCAGCAGGUGCGCUCUUGGCAGAUAAUGGUGGUUGUGCCUGUUUUCUUGUAUCACGACUGGAGGAGACACCUGAUUGAGGUGCUGGUGCAGUUGAAGUAGAAGAUGCACGCGGUGUCCAUGAUGAAGGUCGGCCUGCAGAAAAGUUAGUUCGCGCCAAUGCUUGUCGAUCCUGCACUUCACGUUCAGCUUUACAAGCAAGAUGGAAUAAACGAGUGAUAUUAGUAUACUCCUUAUAGUCUAGAAUGGUCUGAAUCUCUCUAUUUAAUCCACCCAGAAAACGUGCAAGCAUAGCUUCAUUCUCCUCAACAAUACCACAUCUAAUCAUGCCAGUUUGUAAUUCCUGAUAAUAUUCUUCUACAUAAUUUUUUCCUUGUCUUAAGCGCUGUAAUUUCUGAAGCAAUUCACGUUGAUAAUAUGGUGGAACCCAACGAGUAUGCAUAGCAGUUUUCAAAGCAGCCCAAGUAGUUGGAAUAGGAUAUAAUCUACAAUGUUCAGACCACCAUACACAUGCAAAACUAGUGAAAGCACAAACAGCAGCGGCAACCCGUCUCUCCUCGGGAUAUUGUAAACAUGUAAAUCGUUGUUCAGUUUCUAACUCCCAAGUAAGAUAUAUAUCAGGAACAUAUCUACCUCGAAAGGUGGAAUAUUCAAUUUCAGUUUAGGAAGAUGGUCAUGAUCUCGUACCUGAGGGAAAGCCCUACCAUUGUGAUUAUUUGCAUGUGGACGACCUGGUGGUUGUGGUGCAGGUGGUUGCACGUAGUUCUAAUUUUGAGCAACCUCAUCCUCAUAAUCUCCCACAUAAUCAUCCUCCUCCGCAUUAGCAGCAGGAGCCACAGAAGUAUCAACAGCAGCACCAACAGUUUGGCCAAACGCAAGAGGAACACGGCUCGCUCGGCGGAGAUCUGUUUCGCGACGUGGAGGUAGUCGUUGUUGUUGUUGUUGGAGAGGUGCGUUAGGUGCAGCGGGUGGUGGUGGUGGAAGACGCGCGAGCAAUUCAUUAAACUUGUAAUCGAGCUUUGUUUCGAACGUCUUCUCCAUGCCAUCUAUCUUCUCCAUGGCCUCUUCAAAUCUGUUUAGCACGUCUUGCACCUGUCCACUCAUCAUUUGCUGAAAUUUAUCAUGCAAAUCCUUAUUCGUCAUGUUCUCCCAGUCAGUCUCGUCGGCUUGUGAUCCUGGCAUGGUUAGCAGUAAUAGAAACACACAAGAAUAUGAUCCUACAGACUACUAACAAGAGGUGGUGGUGGGUGUCACAAAUCCGUCAAGCAAAUCUCAAAUUCUUACCAGUUCUUACCCAGCAGCAGGCGGUGAUCGGCAACCGUUGUAGUCAAAAACUCUCAAAGCUUGGAUAGAGUGAUUACCAGGGAGAGUCAAACGCACGACGUAGAUGUAUGUGGAGCUGGGAAGGCUUAUAAUAUGGUAGCAAAAAGGGUCAGCAAUAAUCAAUUCAGAGAUGCAAAGUUGAAUAAACGCUCAACGACGGUACUGUGCUGGUCCUAGGCUAGACUGUGCUAGAGACGUGAGCCUAGAACACCAACAAAAUCACGGCGCGACACGUAAACAAGGGAAAAGCACACUCUGGAUUUUUUUUCGCUCUUUAUUUUUUUGCGCUGUUUGUUUUGCGCUGCUUUUUUUUUGCGAAAAAUCACUAUAAUGGCGAGUGUAUCAAAACUCUUCCUAGGUUAAACUGACAGGAUGGGCACGAAAUUUUUUCGACCAAAUUUUUUUUUUGACUGCCCGGACCCAAAAACUGGAAACGGGUCAAAAAAAACUUCCUAUAAUGGCACCUGUCUCAAAACACUCAGAAAUGCCUAAAAAUAGGAUAGCCAGAAAUUUUUUCGAAAAAUGCGUUUUCGAAAAUUUUUGGGCCUAAACGGAGGGUGGUUUCCGGACUCUUUUUUUUUCGAAACCUACUCCGGCAAGGAAACACGAAUCGGAAUCUAGAUGGAUCUCGAAAACAAACCUAAUAUGACAAGAACUCGGAUUGGUGGUGGAUAUAUGGUAGUAGAUGGCAGCGGUGGUGGUAUAUGACAGUGGUGGUGGUAUAUGGAUACGGAUUCGAAGCGGUGGCGGAUAAGCGGUGGUGGUAGAUGGCAGGGGCGAUGAUGAUGGUGCCGCGGCGGCGUGACAACUUAUGACCAGAACUCGAAACUCUAAAAGACUAGACUCUAAGACCAGCAACUAGACACGACGAUGCAACCGCAAAUUCAACAAAGCAAAACCCUAAAAAGAUUAUGCAAAGGCUCAGAUUGGUUCGGAUAUGAUGAACUAACCCUAAUUUUUUUGUGGCAUUUUGUGGACUGUAGGUAUGAAGAACAGACUCGAUCUAAACUAUGAAAAACUGUAAAAUCUCACCGAGCAACCUGGAAAUCUGAUACCACUUGAUAGAGGCAAAGGUGUCCCGUCUUUCGAUGAGAUGAUGGAUAUCGCUUUGGUGGCAGUCGACUUUGAUGAUCCGACUACGAACGUGCGAGGACGUCGCGCCUUAGCAAUCGCUAAACCAACUCCGAGAGGUUAUUGACCACGCCGGAGCACGAUCAACCUGACCACGAGGGUCUGUUUCCUGCGAGCAAACGAAGAACAAGCAAGAAACUGAGAUUUGCAAUCUGGAUAUUGCGAAUAUAAGAUGAAAGCUUUAUUGAUCAAGGUGGGGUUCUGUGACGCCUUUGUCUGGUCGUUGAACACAAACGAAGUACGCGAAGUUGCAGCUAUGGCGAACUUUUAAUCUAAACAAAACCCAAAGUCUAAACGAUGCCCUAAGGGCUGUAUAUAUGGAGGAAGAGGGGGGAAUUUCGUGACCCUUGGUGGAGGGGUCCGAAAUCAACCCUAUCUCUUGUUUCCCCACACAUACGGACACUAAAAAUAGCCUAUACUUAUGUAUUUCGAAAUUACAUGGGCCUGGCCCAAUAAUAAGGUGAUGCAGCACCUAUAAUAGCCUCGGGACGAAAUUUAUGAAGUGGCAUCUUGUAUAUUUCGUCCAAGGCUUCAUGCACCCAUUAUGGUGGCUUCAAAGUCCUGAAAUCAUCACUUGUAACUCCGUUCUUGUUCCCCUUGCGCAUGCCAUCAUCUUCAUGCUUGUUCUUAAUCCAAUGUUCAUCCUUCUCCAAGCUAGGCCCUUCAUUUGUAAGCAAAACAAAUGUAUCCAAUUUAGGCAGCAUCAUAUUCUCAUGAACAUUAGAAUCAUUAGCAAGAAACGAAAGUACCUGGUAAUUUAGUUGGCGUGCGCGAGCUCUAGUAAUUGGUCCAGUAUUUAUAGCAGCAGGGGCUGUGGGUGUAACAAUUGUAUUGAUGUCCUCAUCACUUCUCAAUGAUCAGGUAUUUCACUUCUCAUCUUCUACACGUGUUAAAUAGUUGUUGUUAUUUUAUUAAUUUCCAAAAACUACAGACAAGUAUAUUCCAAAAGAAAGUAUGUCCAUCUGUAAUUACAUUAAAAGAUGAUUCAAAUAAAGACUAUGAAGAAACGUCACACAUGUUAAAAUACUUUAAACGAGUACUUGAAAGAACACUUUACACAUGUCAAAACUUUUCAUUUCCAAUUUAAGAAAAACAAAUGUCCUAUUUUAUAUUCUAAACAAUAUGGUAUAGUAUCUUACCGGACAGGACGAAAAACAUGACCAUUAUAACAUAGAAAAUAUCAAUGACGAGGUACUCUCAUCAAAGAAAGAAAAUUUAUAUUUUUAAAUGUUUGAACAAACAUGCACCAGCACCUUGGUGCUACAAUGACCCAUAUGCAUCUCUGAACAUAAUUAAUUUCUUAUUAAAGCUAGCCCAAUAAGGAAAUUAUGUCACUGACAUUCAAAUUUUAGUGAACCAAUGGGAUUCAAAAUCUGCAGGAAAAAUGGAAAAAAGAACGACAUGCAAAAAUAGGAGAAGUAUCAACAGAAGACAAGAGGAUUAGGAAAGCACCCGGAAGGAACACAAGAUAGAACAAGGCAAAGAAAGUGCUAAACUACAAACUUAAUCCCCUUGAUUUUACUUAUACGAAUAUAUUCUAGAUACUCUAUAUACUUCGUACUCCCUUCAUUCACAAAUGUAAGAUGUUCUAAUUUUUUUGUGAAUCAGAUGUAUAUAGAUAUGUUUUAGUGUGUUUGUUCACUCAUUUUAGUCCAUAUGUAGUCCAUAUUGAAAUAUCCAAAACAUCUUAUAUUUGUGUACGGAGGGAGCAGUCAUUUGCAUAGACAUAUAAUUGUGUUUACUUUAAUGUCCAUGAGAACAUGAAUUUAACUUAUUAUGUGCGCUUGCAGACAAAUCCACUUUGGAGACUAUGAAUGUUCAGUUAUGCCCAUCUUAAUAUUUAAUUAUGCAAAUUCUAUUGAUAUUACGUCUUCCUUUCUCAUAUGUACUUAGAUUUUUUAGCAUCACAAGGAAUUGAUAAAGGAGGCUUUUGUUUAUAAUGACAGUAGAAUCAAAAAGGAGGUGUACUUAGUUGGUUAUGUAGAUCCGUAGCAUAUCUGGUCCGCAUAAUCAUUCCUAAAAAUCACGAGGUCCUUAUGAUAGAUGUGCACCUCUCUAACACGCAUUCAUCUUUUGACAUUCAUAUUCAAUGAAUGAUUACAAAUAUGAGGCAUCCACGGACUAUAGGAUUAUUGGAAUCUCCAUUAUACCGCAGGAAUAAAUGGACAAGAUAGCAAAUCUUGGCAGUGCUUUACACAUAUUGUGCUUCAACACAUCAGACAUGGAGAGCGAAAACCAAUUUCACUCAACUAAUUAUAAAUUAUCAAUUUUGUAGUCUAAGGUACCAUCAUCAAUAAACUCCUUGCGAAUUUACUACAAAAGAGUUGUCCAUGCACUCAGGGUAAGUACAUGUAUACACUGAUCAAUACAAAACAAAUGAUUUGUUCACGCAUAAACAUUAUUAAAAAGAGCAUGCACCACUAAUUGCAUACAUAUGAACUAGAUGGGUGUGGACUUGAACUUUCACCGGAUAGAGGCCAUCUCCUUCGCCGUGAACUAGAUGGAUUUUAACAGCCUUUAUAUAACCAUAAGUACAUGGAUAUGAUUUACUACUCUGCAUAAUCUUUGGAAACAUCAAUAAUACCAAGCAUCGACACUAUAUAUCAUUUGAAGCCUUCUCGGUAUUGAAAGAUAAGUUGACACAUGCUCCUUUACUCCAACUUCCUGAUUUUAAUAAGACUUUUGAGCUUGAAUUUGAUGCUAGUGGAAUUGGAUUAGGCGGUGUGUUAUUACAAGAUGGCAAACCUGUUGCAUACUUUUCUGAAAAAUUGAGUGGGCCUAGUCUGAAUUAUUCUACUUAUGAUAAAGAAUUAUAUGCUCUUGUUCAGACUUUAGAAACAUGGCAACAUUAUUUAUGGCCCAAAGAAUUUUUUAUACAUUCUGAUCAUGAAUCUUUGAAACAUAUUAAAGUCAAGCUAAACUGAAUCGUAGACAUGCUAAAUGGGUUGAAUUCAUUGAGACUUUUCCUUAUGUCAUUAAACACAAGAAGGGAAAAGAAAAUGUUAUUGUUGAUGCAUUGUCUCGCCGCUAUACUAUGCUUUCACAACUUGACUUCAAAAUAUUUGGUUUGGAGACCAUCAAAGAUCAAUAUGUGCAUGAUGCUGAUUUUAAAGAUGUAAUGCAGAAUUGUAAAGAAGGAAGAAUGUGGAACAAGUUCGUCGUUAAUGAUGGAUUUGUGUUUCGUGCUAACAAGCUAUGCAUUCCAGCUAGCUCCGUUCAUCUUUUGUUGUUGCAGGAGGCGCAUGGAGGAGGAUUAAUGGGACACUUUGGCGUGAAGAAGACGGAGGAUGUACUUGCUACACAUUUCUUUUGGCCAAAGAUGAGACGGGAUGUUGAGCGUUUUAUUGCUCGCUGCACUACAUGUCAAAAAGCUAAGUCACGACUCAAUCCUCAUGGUUUAUAUAUGCCUUUGCCUGUACCUAGGGUUCCUUGGGAGGAUAUAUCUAUGGACUUUGUUUUAGGUUUACCUCAAACAAAGAAGGGGAGGGAUAGCAUAUUUGUUGUCGUGGAUAGAUUCUCGAAAAUGGCACACUUUAUACCAUGUCAUAAAAGCGAUGAUGCUGUUAAUGUUGCUGAUUUGUUCUUUCGUGAAAUUAUUCGCUUGCAUGGUGUGCCAAAUACUAUUGUUUCAGAUCGUGAUACUAAAUUUCUUAGCCACUUUUGGAGAUGUUUAUGGGCUAAGUUGGGGACUAAACUGCUUUUUAGUACUACUUGUCACCCCCAAACUGAUGGACAAACUGAAGUAGUCAAUAGAACGUUGUCUACUAUGCUUAGGGCUGUUUUGAAGAAUAAUAAGAAAAUGUGGGAGGAAUGCUUGCCUCUUAUUGAAUUUGCUUAUAAUCGUUCAUUGCAUUCUACUACUAAGAUGUGCCCUUUUGAAGUUGUGUAUGGUUUCCUACCUCGUGCACCUAUUGAUUUGUUGCCUCUUCCAUCUUUGGAGAAGGUUAAUUUUGAUGCUAAACAACGUGCUGAAUUGAUUUUAAAAAUGCAUGAGUUAACUAAGGAAAACAUUGAGCGUAUGAAUGCUAAAUAUAAACUUGCUGGAGAUAAGGGUAGAAAGCAUGUUGUGUUUGCACCUAGAGAUCUUUUUUGGUUACAUUUGCGUAAGGAUAGAUUUCUGGAUUUGCGCAAAUCAAAGUUAAUGCCACGUGCUGAUGGUCCCUUUAAGGUGUUAGAGAAAAUAAAUGAUAAUGCAUAUAAACUUGAGCUGCCUGCAGAUUUUGGGGUUAGUCCCAGUUUUAACAUUGCAGAUUUGAAGCCUUAUUUGGGUGAGGAAGAUGAACUUCCAUCGAGGACGACUUUAUUUCAAGAAGGGAGGAUGAUGAGGACAUCAAUACAAUUGUUACACCCACAGCCCCUGCUGCUAUAAAUACUGGACCAAUUACUAGAGCUCGCGCACGCCAACUAAAUUACCAGGUACUUUCGUUUCUUGGUAAUGAUUCUAAUGUUCAUGAGAAUAUGAUGCUUCCUAAAUUGAUACAUUUGUUUUGCUUACAAAUGAAGGCCUAGCUUGGAGAAGGAUGAACAUUGGAUUAAGAACAAGCAUGGAGAUGAUGGCAUGCGCAAGGGGAACAAGAACGGAGUUACAAGUGAUGAUUUCAGGACUUUGAAGCCACCAUAAUGGGUGCAUGAAGCCUUGGACGAAAUAUACAAGAUGCCACUUCAUAAAUUUCGUCCCGAGGCUAUUAUAGGUGCUGCGUCACCUUAUUAUUGGGCCAGGCCCAUGUAAUUUCAAAAUACAUAAGUAUAGGCUAUUUUUAGAGUCCGUAUGUGUGGGGAAACAAGAGAUAGGGUUGAUUUCGGACCCCUCCACCAAGGGUCACGAAAUUCCCCCCUCUUCCUCCAUAUAUACAGCCCUUAGGGCAUCGUUUAGACUUUGGGUUUUGUUUAGAUUAAAAGUUCGCCAUAGCUGCAACUUCGCGUACUUCGUUUGUGUUCAACGACCAGACAAAGGCGUCACAGAACCCCACCUUGAUCAAUAAAGCUUUCAUCUUAUAUUCGCAAUAUCCAGAUUGCAACCUCAGUUUCUUCCUUGUUCUUCGUUUGCUCGCAGGAAACAGACCCUCGUGGUCAGGUUGAUCGUGCUCCGGCGUGGUCAAUAACCUCUCGGAGUUGGUUUAGCGAUUGCUAAGGUGCGACGUCCUCGCACGUUCGUAGUCGGAUCGUCAAAGUCGACUGCCACCAAAGCGAUAUCCAUCAUCUCAUCGAAAGACGGGACACCUUUGCCUCUAUCAAUUCCCCCCUCUUCCUCCAUAUAUACAGCCCUUAGGGCAUCGUUUAGACUUUGGGUUUUGUUUAGAUUAAAAGUUCGCCAUAGCUGCAACUUCGCGUACUUCGUUUGUGUCCAACGACCAGACCAAGACGUCACAGAACCCCACCUUGAUCAAUAAAGCUUUCAUCUUAUAUUCGCAAUAUCCCGAUUGCAAUCUCAGUUUCUUGCUUGUUCUUCGUUUGCUCGCAGGAAACAGACCCUCGUGGUCAGGUUGAUCGUGCUCCGGCGUGGUCAAUAACCCUCGGAAGUUGGUUUAGCGAUUGCUAAGGCGCGACGUGUCGCACGUUCGUAGUCGGAUCGUCAAGGUCGACUCCCACAGAAAACGAUAGCC